UUACAUUACAUAAAUACAUUUUUAAUAUAUUAUUUUAUUUUGCAAUUAAUAUAUAAUGUUAAUUAUUUUUUAAUCUUACUUGCUGUAAUAUAAUUAAUUUAAAAUAUAUUUUGUGGCAUAUCUGAUGCAUAAUAAAUUAGUUUUUAUAAAAGUAAGCCAGUAAUUUGUUAGGACAUAAAAAAGGAGAAUAAGCUUUUAUCCCCUACACGUGUGUGUAUAUAUAUAUAUAUAUAUAGGCCAUGGCUACUAUACUAUUAUGAGUAUUGGAGCCAUCGUACUCAUAAGUUGUUUUCAAUGAUGGAGCUUCCGAAUCGACGAUCCACUCCGUUAAAUAUGAUCUAGAGUAUUUGAAACUUUUAGAAAAUAAAUUUUAUAAANUAUAAAGAGAGAGAGAGAGAGAGAAAGAGAGUAGGGCUACUAUACUAUUAUGAGGAUAGAGCCCAUCGUACUUAUAAGUUGUUUUCGAUGUUGGCCUUUUCGAAUCGACAAUCCACACCGUUAAACAUGAUUUAGAGUAUUUGAAACUUUUAAAAAAUAAAUUUCGUAAUUUUUCAAAAUUAUUAUAAUGUCCAUCAAGCGGGUAUAAAUGAACAGUUAAAAUCGAAUGACAUCCUAAAAACGGAUUAUCGGAACCUUCAAUUUAAGAUCGGAGUUAUUGAUAUUUAUUUAGGUGGUGAAUAGAAUUUUCUAUAAAAAAAUCAACAUAUUCCGAUUCUUUUUCACUGUUAAACUAGCAAAUAUCUCAUACCGGCCGUUCAAAAUUGUCAAUUUUGUGAGCUUUUGAUUGUAAGGUAAAUGAUAUUGAAAAAUUAUAAAAUUUGAUUUCUAGAAGUUUUCAAUACUCUAGAUAAUAUUUAACGGUAUGGAUCGUCGAUUCAGAAACUCUAUCAUCGAAAACAACUUAUGAGUACGAAGACGAUCGUACUCAUAAAAGUAUAGCAGCCAGACUAUAUAUAUAUAUAUNNNNNNNNNNNNNNNNNNNNNNNNNCCGAGAAAUUUAGAGGUAUCGUGCCCCCUUGAAACAACCUGUCGUAUUAUGUGAUAUUGAGAUUUUAUAAUUAAUCAAAUACUUCUUACAUUACAUUAAAAUACAUUUUUAAGUAUUAUUUUAUUUUGCAAUUAAUAUAUAAUGUGUAAUUAUUUUUUAUUACGCUGUAAUUAUAUUAAUUUAAAAAUCUAUAUUUGGGCAUAUCUAGAUGCAUAAUAAAUUAGUUUUUAUAAAAGUAAGCCAGUAAUUUGUUUAGACAUAAAAAAGGAGAAUAAGCUUUUAUCCCCUACACUGUGUGUAUAUAAUAUUAAUAUAUAUAGGCAUGGCUACUUAUACUAUGUGGAGUGAAUGGCAGCGCACUACUAUAAGUGUGUGGUUAGAAUGAUGGAGCUUACGAAUCGGACGAUCACUCCAUUAAAUAUGAUCUAGAGUAUUGAAACUUUUAGAAAAUAUAUUAUAAAUUUCGAAAUUCAUAAUAAAGUCCAUUCAAGCGGAGUAUCAAAAUUAACGACGGUCAAAACUCGAACGACGUCCUUAAAAAAGAGAUGAUCAGAUCCGUCAAUUCCGAUUCAGAGUUAUUAAUCUGUAUCUAUGUAGUUGAAUAGAAUUUCUAUCAAAAAUUCAAUCACAAUUCCGAUUCUUUUAUACCGUUAAACUCAGCAAGUAUUUCAUCAGCGCCAUUAAAAAUUUGUUCAAAUUGUGACUCUUGAAUCGUAAGGUAAAUGAUGUCGAAAAAUUUUAUAAAUAUUAUUUCGUAGAAAUUUAAAUUUGUAAAUAACGUUUAACGGGUGUGGACGUCGAUUCUGAAAGUUCUAAUAUCGAAAAACUAACAUUUUUUAUUGAGUACGAGGGCGAUCGUUACUCAUAAUAGUAUCAGUAGCUGCUGCCUCUAUAUAUAUAUAUAAUAUAUAUAUAUAUCUAUAUUAUAGUAUAUUAGUAUAUAUAGUAUAUAAGUAGAUGAGAGAGAGAGCGAAGAGCAAGAGUUAGGGCUACAUAUCUUAUUAUGAGGAUAGAGCCCAUCGUACUAUAUGUGUUUUCGGAUGUGGCCUUUUGCGAAUCGACAAUCCACACCGUUUAAACAUGAUUUAGGAGUCAUUUGAAACUUUUAAAAAUAAAUUUCGAUUUUUUCAAAUAUUAUUAUAAUUCCAUCAAGCGGGGUAUAACAUGACAUGUUAAAAAAUUCGAAUACAUCUAAAACGGUCAUUACGGAACCUCUCAUUAAGAUCGGAGUUAUUGAUAUUUUUUAGGUGAUUCUUGGUGAAUAGAAUUUCUAUAGAAAAAUCAACAUAUUCGCGAUUCUUUUUCACUGUUAAAUUUCGCAAUAUCUCAUUACCGGCGCGUUCAAAAUUGUCAAUUUUGUGAGCUUUUGAUUGUAAGGUAAAUGAUAUUGAAAAAUUUAUUAAAAUUUGAUUUCUAGCAAGUUUUCAAUACUCUAGAUAAUAUUUACAGUAUGCAUCGUCGAUCCAGAAACUCUAUCAUCGAAAACAACUUAUGAGUUACGAAGCCGAUCGUACUCAUAAAGUAUAGCAGCGCAGACAUAAUAGUAUAUAUAUAAUAUAAUAUAUAUAUAAUAUAUAUUAUAUAUAUUAUAUAAUAUAUAUUACUAUAAUAAUAUAUGAGAUGAAGCGUGAAGAAUAUAUGCGGUAGUCUAACGAGGAGGGUUUUACUACUGCAUUUGUCUUUCGAUGAUAGAUGCUUCCAAAUUGACGAUCGGCUCCGUUAAAUACUGUAUCUAAACAUUUAAAAACAGCCUAGAAACAAUUCACGCACGUUUACAUAUUAAUUCUUAUAUCCAUCAAAGUGAACAGAAAAAUGAAUGCUAGAAAUGAAUCCUUUAAUAAAAUGAUGAUAGGAGUCUUGUAAUCAAGACAAGAGUAUAGGUCUAUGUUUUAAAUUAGUUUAAAAAUAUUUUCAAACAAAAAAUUCAAUUGUUUGGAUUAUCGUACGGCCGUUAAACGAGAAAACGUCUCUCAUCGACCAUAAAAUUAUAAAUUUUGAAACAUCUUUGAUCAUUAACAAAUGAUGUCGAAAAGAUUAUUGAAAUUUAAUUUCUAAACAGCUUACCCAAUCAAGUGGUAUAGAUCAAUGUUACAAAAGAGGCCAUCGCGUCAGUUUGUAGAAGUUCUAUCAUCGAAAACAAAUCGGUAGUUAAACGGCUCGUUUACUACCGAUAAGUAUUUCAGCUCAACUCUCUCUCUAUAUAUAGAAUUAGGCUCUAUUACCUAUCUAUAGUACCGAGCUCGGUAAGCUAGUAGUGCUGUUUUCGAUUCUUAGGGCUGUUCAAAUCAACGUUCCAUCGCGUUAAAUAAUGAUCUAGAUAUAGGAAAUUUAGGAAAAAAUUUAGUGUUUUCGGAUAUCGUUUACUAAUAAUUAAUUAUAAUCAAAAUGGACGGUGGAAAUUGAAUAAUCUUUACAAUUUGAGGGCAUAGGACUUUAAUUCAUAGAUCAAGUAUUAACCUUAAUCAUUAUAGUUUAAUGUAUUUUUAUCCAAAUGAAGAAAUUUAGAUUCUGCUUUACACCGUUAAACUCGCAAAUGUCGUAAUGCCAUUGAAAUUUGACAUUUUGAAUAGUUUGAUUAUAAAAUAAACUAGUCGAAAAAUAUAUAAAAUUUAUUUCUAGAGAACUUUAAAUACGCCUAGCAUCAGUUUUAACGUGUAGAUCGGUUGAUCUUGAACGCUCUAGAUUUGAAAACAACACUAUGUACCGGGAGCUCGGUACGUAUAGAUGAGUAUAGUAGCCGUAGUCUCUUCUCUCUCUUACCUCUCUCUCUCUCUCUCUCUACUAUAUACUAUAUAUAUAUUAUAUAUAGUAUAGAGUCGAGGCUACUAUCUAUCGAAAGCCACGGACCUUCCGCUGCUUCCACCUCGUUUUCGAAUGUUGCGACUUUCGAAUCGUCGAUCGUGUCCGUAAAAUUGAUUAGAGUAUUUGGAGUACUAGAAAAUAAAUUUUAUUAUUUUCGAUAUCAUUUGCCUAGUGAUUCGAAUGCGGUCUCAAAAUACGAAAUUUCAAUGACCGUAGUGACCGUUUGCAAGUUUAACGGUUGUAGAAAUCUCAAACUCAGUGGAAAUUUUGAUAGAAAAUUCUUAAUAUGCUGACUAUAUAAAACAAGAUCAAUUAUUUUUGAUUUAAAUUAAUGUAUAUUAUUACAUUUGUAGCAUUUUUAUUUCAGCCGUUGCAUUUUGAGCCCCUUCGUUCACGUAGGCAAAUGUGAAUCGGUAAUCAAAAAUUUAUUUUCUAGGUACCUACUUCAAAUACUCUAGAUCAAGUUUAACGAAACCGAUCGACGAUUCGAAAGUCGCAACAUCGAAAACGAGCUGGAAGCACGGAAGGCUCUGUGCUUCCGAUAGCAUAGUAGCCUCACUAUAUAUAUAUAUAUAUAUAUAUAUAUAUAUAGAGUUGGACUGGGCUACUAUUAGGAGCAAAAUCCCAUUGUUGCUACCAAUUUUUUAGCCUUUGGAUCAACUCUUUUCAUUAUUUCUAACCAUUGGAUUAAAUGCUACAACCUAGUGGGGACCACUCAACCCUAGGGGGGACCACUCAACUCUAACCGACUAAUAUCAUCCUGACCCUACAAUUUUUCAUCCAAGGGUUAAAAACUUGAUAGCAAAAAGAGCGUUUUACUAUUAAUAGUAUUCCAGCAUAAUUCUGAUUUUUUAGCCCUUGUAUAAAAAAUUUAACAGUUGGGAUGAUAGCGGUCCCCUUAGGAUUGAGUGGCUCUCGAGGGUUGAGUGGUCCCCACUGGUUAAUAAUAUUAAUCCAAUGGUUAGAAAUGAUCAAUAGGAUUGAUCUAAGGAUUAAAAAAUCGAAAGCAUCAACCACUUUAUGCUUCCGAUAGCAUAGCAAUUCUAUUAUAUAUAUAUAUAUAUAUAUAUAUAUAUAAUUUAUUCCGGUUCGGAUCGGGUAAAUACAAAAUCCAUAUCUGUCGAAUUUUUAUUUUCUAUAUCCAUAACCGAACCCAUAUCUUCUUAGCUCGGAUAAAGCUGUCCUGUUCAGAUUCGGAUUCGAUAAUAUUUCAAGUAUUCAUACCCAUUGACAUCCCUAGUUCUAAUGGUACUAUAUUUGCACUAUAUUCCCAAAAUGUGGGGUUUUAUAAGGACUUUUUAGAAGCAGUAAAAAGAAAAAAAAAAGAUUCUUUCAUAGAGUGGAGAACCAUGUGGGGUCUCUCGGCUACUUCGUCCUUGGCCACCAGUAGUGGAAGAUUUAAAUAAGAGUUUAGUGAGAAAAACAACCACAUUUUGCGGCAUUUGUCCUUCAUUAAUCUAAUCACUAUUACCGGUUAAUGGUGGUCAAUUUCAAUCCUUAGAUUAACACAAAUCCGCCAAUAAUUAAAAAGGUUAAUUGCAUAUAUUUUUUUGUAAAGUGUAAACACAGUGAAUUGUAAAUAUAUUCCUACAAAAUUUAACUUUUUUAUGUUAUUUUUAUAAAAGUCCUAAUAUUUUCAAAUAUGUCUCGUGCAGUUAUAAAUCGUUAGAAAAUUUUAACUAAUUAUAGGUAAAAUACAUAAUUCUGCUUAUUUAAUAAGGUAAGUUGAUAUUUUUACUCUUUUUAUAUUAUACUUUCUUCUCUCAAUCAAAAUCUAACAAUGGAAAUUUUUUUUUUCUCUCUUCCACUCUCUCCUUCAUGCUAGUUUCGAAUCCCUAACUAGAAUUUCUUCGUCUCUAUUUCUCCACGACGCAUAUUGCUUCUCCGAUGAUGAGUGUGUGGUGCUUUUUCAUUCACUUUUCUCUAUAAUUUUUUCAUAUUUUGCUCAAAAAAAAAAGUUUAAGAAAAACAUAGUGAAGAAGAGGUUGCAAUAAUAGUGAACUGGAUUGAGUUUUAAAGAAAGAAAAAUGAGAAAGAAGAUGACCAUUGCAAAUUUUUGGGAGGAUAUUUCUGCAUGAUUUUUGCGAGGACAUUUUUGCAGUUGUGAUUUUUUGUGAGACAUUUGUAAUGGCAAAAUUGACAUUUUAUAUAUCUGCUGUUAAAAAAUAAAUAAUUCUCUAACGGUAACGAAUAAGAACGACAAAUAUGAAUAUCAUUGAACAUUUGUAGGGAUAAAAAUUUAAAGUUAAAUUUUGUAAAGAUACAUUUACUAUUUACUAUAUUUACAAUGAGUUGUAUGCAAUUAAUCCUAAUUAAAAAUUGAACAAUUGUCCAUCCCCUCAUGAGGUCCAAAAAGUCUUUGUCGAAACAGAAGCACCGUAUAAAAUAUAUCUCAAAUCAGUUCAAUUGUGUUAUGCGAGAUAGUAUAGAGUUUAAUUAUGAGUAAUAUAAUAAUUUGGUAUUAAUAUACUUUUUUCUAGAAAAAAAUUUUAUACGGUGUGGAGACUUCUGAUCAAAUAUUAUUAUUCUGUGUAACGACCAUGAUAGAAAGGAAUUUUUCUAUUAAGCUUCAGUGGUGGUAACUUAUAGUCACCUCGAAAUUUAUUUCUGCUAAAUAUAGUAAAUAAGACAGCUUUUAUUAUGCGACAGUUAAUUAGCGGUUCCGAUUGUUGAACGAGAUUGGAUUUGGGAUAUGCUUAUGUAGUGCUAGUUUAUUUAUUUAUUUAUUUAUUUAUUUUUAUUAAUAAGAAGAGGGUCAUUAUUUUCAGAUGUUAACGCAUCCCCACCAUCUUAGGCCAGGUGUUACAUUAACUAUGAGCUUGUCGGGUUGAGAGGGUGACUCCAAACCAAUCAGGUGUAUCUUGGUAGUGGCAAAUUCCAGAUCUUAUCUAAGAUCACUUUAUAAUAUUGAUUUGGACUUAAAAUCUAACUUGUUAGUUAGGCGGGUUACAUCAACUGUGUGUGUGCAUAGUCUUUUCGGUACAAUAAUAUCUGAUCAGAGAAAAUUAUUAGAAAAUAGUGGUAAAUACUCUCUAUUAUGUCUCAAAGUACUUUGAUAGCUGAUUAUCUUAUCUAAGAUACAAGAGGGUGUGAACAUAAAUUUAAGAACCAAAGUUAAGUGUUUACUAUCUAGUGCUAAGUGAUCCAUUACUUGUUCCAAACUAUUUAAGCGUAAGUUAUAAUUAGUACUAAUGUCUUAGUUACUUAUCACAUUCUUCCACAUUAUCAUAUGCAUAUUUUACCACUUAUGUAGUGUUACUAUGCAUCAUUUCAAUCAGAUUGCUGUGGCUGGUAUUGUAAGCACUGGGAUCCUUUCCCCCAGGAACCUCCAAAUGUAGACUCUUCUUUCAACUGUACCACCACUUCAGCCAUGCUCGGCCUCUCGCCGUCCAUCGGCAAAAUGCAAUUCAUCGCCGCACCGACGACCUUCUGGACCGAUUUGCCAUCGUAAUCUUCUUCAAGUUUCAGGUCGAUUAUCUCGGCCCACCGGACUAUGUUGGCCCUUUACGGGAUUGUUUGUAUGGUGGGGAGGCCUCCCACCAAUUCCCGAAAGAACAACGCCGAAGCUGUACACAUCGCUGUUUUUGAUCAAUUAAAACGUGUUGUACGUAGUGUGUAAUUAGUGAAAAAAAAAAAUGUGUUAGUGAUGCGGGCCUAAAUCAUGUUGAAAGAGAAGAAGCAGAAGAAUGAUACAUGAAAAGAUAUUUUUUCAAAAAAAAAAAAUUUAUCAAAUAUGAGGCUACCUAUAAUAGUUGAAUGUCAUAUAGUUACACAGGCGAUAUCAAAAUUCCACAGGCCAAAAAAAAAAAAAUCUAAAAUAUCUCUAAAUCUAUUCUCACCAGAAAUAACCAACAUUUUAAAAAUAUAAAGGCCUUUCAAAAGCAACCUAAGAGUGCAAAUUCAGAGGCAUAACCAAUUGAUUUAGAUCCCAACUUGAGCCAAAACAGCGAAACAGUUCAUGACUCAUGAGUAGAUUUUGAAAAGUUGUUUCUAAAAUAGGACUGAAUGUUAAAAAGAGAAACCCGAGCGAAAAGUUAUAACUGUUUUAAAAAAUUUUCAAACCGUUUGUAAAAUUUGCCGAACUCAAUAGAAUUUUCAGCCCAAUUGAUUACCACAAACUUCUCCAUAAAUUCUGCCGCUAAGUUGGUUGCAUCUGUUAGUUCACUGCAAAGUAAUACACUUCGUUACUUGACAAAAUGUUCUAUAUAUAUAUAUAACGUUUCUUUUUUGUUGAAAGAAACUAAGAGAGUUUGACCAACUUUUUUGAAAUUUAAAGAAAAAAAAGGAAAAAGGAAGAUUAGUUAUCAAAUGAACGCUUUUUAAAACUUCAGGUACCCAAAUUUAAGGUAUAAUUCAAGUAGAGUUUUCGAAAUUUUGUGCAAAAGAUGAUGAGAAGAAUAAGGAGAGAAUACUCUGGGUCAAUGUAUCCACGAGACGUGGGUGUGAGCAUCAGGUAGGAAGGCCCUUGAGAUCCCGAAAUCCGCGAUCUUCGCCUCAAAGUUAUUUGAUAGGAGUAUGUCGCUCGUAUUCACAUCUAAGUGAACUAUAUGGUGUGUGCAUCCCUUAUGCAGAUACUCUAGCCCUGGUCAUUGCUCCAUUCAUUCGACGUUCUCUUAGACUAUUGUAGACUACAUACCAAACUCCUCCUAUUUCUCAAUGAUAUCCCAUGAUCGAGACAAUUGGCUGAAUCCCGUGAAACACCAUCCCUUAUGGAAUUGCCGAAGAAAAAUCGUGUCAUCAGCAAAUUAUAUGAGUGCUUGCUAUUUGGCAGUCCGUCGUCGGUCCUAGCCGGCUUGGAAGAUUGUUCGAUCUCGCUAUCUCUGUAAGCCCGGCCAGGCUUUCAACCGUCGGAAGGAAGAGAAAAGGGGAUUGCGGGUCGCCUUACUGUCUCAGUCCUCUAUUGGUCUUAAAUCCAUUCAGUUGGCAUCCUCGUGCCUCAGUCCUCUAUUUGCCGAUGCUGAAUAGCUUUCAACUACUGCUAUAGUACAAACCUCGAAUAUGGGAAGUGCAACACUUCGUUUUAGUCUCUCGUUAGUACACAAAUCUUUGAACUUCUGAUUGCCAAACAUAUAGUUACUGCAUCUCGGAAUAGAAAAACUAAUCUAAGGCCAGAUAAAAAGGAGACAACGUGCAUACCCCGCGGCAUAUAGUGAAUGAGCGGCAGAAUCACCUCGCACAGUGAGCAUGGGGCUAUUACAAAGUUGUGCCCAAAAGGCUACACAACAGUUGAGGGGCUUGUAAUCUUUGAGCUCCAAAAACUUCUGAUGGAACGGCCCAGAUUUAUUUGGAUCAGCCCAUAUAAAGCCCACGAUCAGCCCAAAAUAUAUUAACGGGCCUUCUCGUUGGGCUUGGAUUUGAAGCUUUGGUUUCAACAUGGGCCCAGAGCCCGAUACCCGGAUCUUAGAUCACAACAUUAGUUUGAACGGUUGCAAUCGACCGCUCACGCGGUUAUUGACGGCUCUGAUCUGGUCAAUGGGAUCUCCGCUACGGCGCUACCAUCAUACGCUCCUGUUUUCAAUUUUUUAAUAUUUAUUAUAUUAAUCUUUUUUGGUUUUCAAUUCAAACGCGCACCAACUACGGAUUCUGUCGCUUUCCUGUCCACGUGGCAUCGUUGCGGGAUCCGACCGUUGCAACUCAAAAACGGUCUAAUAAGUUCCCAAAAAUUUUCCCCUUGCCUCUCCAUUGGCAAAGACGACUCCUCUCUCUCUCUCUCUCUCUCUCUCUCUCUCUCUCUCAUGGCGAUCGUGGCGGAAACCCAGCAAGAAGAGAAGGUAUGGCGAAGAAAUGGCUCUCUUUAGGGUUCUUUGGUGCUCAAUUGCGGGAUCGUAGGCUAAAGAAAUGGUCCUAUUUUAGGGUUUAUUCGAAGACCUCUCUUCCUCCCGGAUAGUUCUUUUGUUUGGACUAGGUUGUGAAUGCGUCUUAAUUGUUAGCAAAGUUUUUCUGAUUUUGGUAUUGACGCGAGCAAUUUGGAGGAAAGCUAGUGUUUUGCCUCGAAAUCAUCGAUUAGAAUCCCUGUCGAGAAACCCUAAGAUUUUUGGUUAUGGGUUUGAUUCGUCCUUUGAUGGAUUUAAAGGUUACAGCUUUAGAUCCAAGAAAUCGGAUUGAAAUAUAAAAUUAAGGUUUUGUCAUGCUGUAAGAAUUGAAGAUUUAGGGCAUUUUGGAUUCUUUCCUAGUUGGGUUUCGUAAAGCUUUGUCGUGGUCUUAUAAUUCAUAGAAUCUAAAGCUCGUUAUGGUUAAUUUUAUGUAAUGUGGUAUUAUUUGACCAUUCUAAUGUCUAAAGUGUUUUAAUUUCAGGUCGCUACAGUUGAGAAGCGUUGGACCUUGAAUGACUUUGACAUUGGAAAGCCUCUUGGAAGAGGAAAAUUUGGUCAUGUCUAUUUGGCCAGAGAAAAGAGGGUAUAUUCUAUUAAUUUUUCCAUCUUGGUUUUCAAAUUACUUGCUUGGUUUAUUUUGAGUUAGUAUAAUUAUGUCGUUGUUUCCGUUGUCCAUAGAAAAAAAAAAAAAAAAAAUCUGUAGUUGUUAUAUUAAUUGCUGAUUCUUACUAAGGAGAGUUGUUAGCUGAAUAGGUUAAGAUGACUGAAAAUGGUGCUUUUACUUGGGUCAGAGUAAUCACAUUGUGGCCUUGAAAGUCCUUUUCAAGAGCCAGCUGAAACAAUCUCAAGUGGAGCAUCAGCUGCGCCGUGAGGUGGAGAUACAGAGCCACCUCCGAAACCCUAAUAUACUCCGGCUAUAUGGUUACUUCUAUGAUCAGGUUUUUGGACACUUCUCUCCUUUUGUGCUUUAUGGACAAGUUAGUUGUUCAAUUGACUACUCAUCUUUUUAUCUGAUUUUAAUAUGUUUGUUUUUCUUUGUUACUACAGACGCGUGUUUAUCUGAUCCUAGAAUAUGCAGCUAAAGGUGAACUUUAUAAGGAGCUGCAGAAAUGCAAGUACUUCAGUGAGCGAAGGGCUGCGACUGUGAGUUAUCACAUAUGUUUGGAUAUUAUGAAUCUAAUGUCUUAAAUCUUUUAGUAAUGAAGUGCCUUGAUUGGUAAUUAUCUUUCCUUAAUCAUUUGUAUUUCAGUACAUUUCAUCAUUAGCACGAGCACUGAUAUACCUCCAUGGGAAGCACGUAAUUCACAGAGACAUCAAACCAGAGAAUCUCCUUAUUGGACUUCAGGUACCACUUGCUUAUCUGCUAGUUCCUUCUUGAAACUUAGAGGUUGGGUUGCUUAUAAAGGCGUGUUUCUGGUGGCAGGGAGAGCUAAAAAUUGCAGAUUUUGGGUGGUCGGUGCACACAUUCAACCGCAGGCGGACGAUGUGUGGAACACUGGAUUACCUUCCUCCUGAAAUGGGUACUUUGAACUGCUCUUGUCUAUGUAUUGGAAGUUAGAUUUUGGGUUAUGUAUCUUAGAGGUGAGUAUUUUGUUGCAGUGGAAAGUGUGGAGCAUGAUGCAAGUGUUGACAUUUGGAGUUUAGGUGUCCUGUGCUACGAGUUCCUUUAUGGAGUGCCACCAUUUGAAGCAAAAGAACAUUCCGACACAUAUAGAAGGUAAAUGAAUAGGCUACAUUAUCUAAAGCCUCCUAUUACUGUAUCCUUAUUAUUUCCAGGAUAAGAGUAGGUGUUCUUUGCAUGUUAAUUAAGCUCGUUAGCUAUCUGAUAUCUCUAGCUAAAAAUUUAAUUUUUGGUAGGGUCUUCAUUGUGGGUCUUGAUUGUAUAUUAAUUAAGAAAGUUUACCAUCUGAUAUAUCUAGCUAAACAUUUAAUUUCAGUUUAUGUCUAAACAUGAAUCAACGAAGAAUAAGCUCGUUAAGUAAAUCUGUAUUUUGGUACUUUCUUGAUUGCUGCAUGACAUUAGAGGAUAUACUCAAUUUUGUUUAACAGUUACUAACUUGUUCUCUACACAAUAUAAAUGUGACAUUCAUGCAAUUUAUUACAUCUACUUGAAACUGCAGGAUACUGAAAGUCGAUCUUAAGUUUCCUCCAAAGCCAGUUGUUUCUCCUGCUGCAAAAGACCUAAUCACGCAGGUGGGAGCUCAAUCCUUUAUUUUUUUUCUUUUUCUUUCGGUCUUCAUUUAUUCGUUAGCAGGGUGUAUGUAUUUAUUUAUUUAUUUAUUUUCCCUUCCCUUGUGUUCUCGAUUUCAGAUGCUUGUAAAGGACUCCUCUCAGCGUCUUCCCCUUCACAAGUUGCUCGAGCAUCCGUGGAUUGUACAAAAUGCAGAUCCCACAGGCAUCUACAGAGGUUGAUUCUUUUCCGGGAGAGUUCUAGUGACACAUUCAAUUCUUUUCACCAAUGUUUAGGACUUAGCUUUGAGCUAUGAUAAAACGGUUCUUGUUCUCUCAUCCAAUAUCUUCAGCUUUAAAUAUAUGGACCGCUGAACUUUGUGUAAUUGUUAGGAUGUCAGGAUGGUGCGUUGACGCACUGGACCUUGAAAUUCUUGUAACCUAAUGGAAUGGCUCAUCAAUAGAUGCUUGCGGAUGAUUCCGCUUGUUGCUCUUUCUUUUCUUAGACUAGUAGUUUUUGUGUCUUAUUCAAUCUUAUUCAAUGUUCACACUCUGCAGAUGAUGUGUUACUGAAUCCUAUAACUAAUACUUGAUGGAAGCUAUGAUGAAUGAAGUAAAUUUUGCUAAAAAGAGAAAUAAACUUCCUCUAUAUCAAGAUUACAAGGAAAUGGUUACUCCAAAAAAAGCUGAUUCAUUUCAUUCGUAGUGAGUCUUUUUUUACACCUUUGGACAUUUUUCAAACAACAAAAAGAAUUGGACAGACAUUUGUUAUCAGUAUAAGACUAUGAAGUGUAUUAUAUUUUCUUGCCAAUAAAUAGCUCUAUAAACAGGUAUAAAAGCUUAGAUAUAUACUCUAUAAGCAUGCCGCUGAACUUACCUACGCGCACAUUUUGGUCUCCUCUUCACAGAGAUCCAUUAUGAGCUGGGCUAUGGUAAUCGAGGUCAUCUUGUUCAUCCACCCAACUGUUUUCGACAUCCCAAUGCUGCAAUUGGGGUUCCUCCACUUCGUUUGCCUCCUCGGCCUCUCUAUUGCUCAUAAAGCUUGGUUGAUUAGUCGAAGAGAGUAGCCUUGCCCACAUCCUAUCGGUUAUUACGACUUUUUUCUGCUUUUCUGUUAUCCUCUGCAUCAUUGAUGGAUAGUGUAAGAUGGUUAUAUAUCGAAAAGGCUUUUACAUAAAUAACUCUGCAAUACCUCAAGAGUUGAGAGUUGCAGGGUACAAAUGUAUAUCUCUUUUAAGAACUUAAAUCAUGUUUUGAAAUUGAAAAGCUUGGUCUGAGCAAGCGAACCUUCAGUUUUAUAGGAAAUGGAGAAAUGGAAUGUAAGCUACUUACAGGAAAUGGAAUGUAAGCAUGUCGUCCAUUAACAGGGCCAACAGUGAAGCCGGUGUAUCCUGCCAUGGCGCCGUGGAUGGCGCUGUGUGCCAAUAAUGUGCAGUAGACGUUAUCCGAUGCAUUGGCCGGAACGGCACGUAUCAUGUAUGUAGGAUCUGAUACAGAAACAUAAAGAUAAUUGGAGAUGUUUCAUCUAAUGUUGUUAGCGAAGCUAAGUAAUGGAGUUCUGUUCGCGUUGUAUACCUAUAUACUUGAGAUUUAUAGCCAUUUUCUUCUUUCCUGCAAAAUAGCCCUGCAUGGUGGAGAAAGAAAGUAGUUAGUUUCACAAUAAGAUUGCUUGAUAAAUUGCUUGCCUAUUGCUACAAAUCCAGAGUUGUACGAGCAAAUAAAUGAUUUUGCAGAAUACAUGUAUAGAGACCAACAAAUUAUUGGUUGAAAAUUUUAACUUAGUAUCUAACCUUUAUUUUUUGAGACAACCAGAGCCCAACAUCAAGAAGCUGCUUAUUUCCAGAAGCAUCUUCACGGUUCUCGGAUCGCACACUUUCAGCAAUGAGCUCCUGUCCUGCACCCUCUGCAACGACGAUAACCAUAUGGCCGUUUUCUUUCAGACGCUUCUCGAUAUACUCUAAAAGCCCACCCUUCCCUUCGAGGAAGAAAGGCGAUUCUGGGAUCAAGCAACAGUCCUGAGGAAACAAAAUGUAUUUCAUAAAUCUUUCUCUUUUUUUUCCCCCUUAAAGCAUCGUUUUGGUGAUUUUAGUGUAGAAAAGAUAAAAAUUCUUCAUGAUGAGUAAAGAAAUUAACAUACCACGUCUCUACUCGCAAGAGUAGCAUACAUUGCAAUGAAACCUGCACCAAACCAAUAAGACUUGAGUAUUAAGCCUGUUCAAAUAAUAUUCUUAAGAAUUAUACUUUCAGCAGGACAUAACCAAUAUUUGCAACUCUGUAAUUCUAAACAGUGAGAAAUGAGGUACACGUCAUGUCUUAUCACAAAAUUUAUUACUUUUAGUAUGGUUUUAUCAGAAAUUAUCAGAACAUCAGAGUGAGAAGAGCAUAAUGCAAUUGAGACUACAACUUACCGCUGUUACGCCCCAUCAACUUCACUACACCUAUACCAUACUCAGUGCUCUCUGCCUCCACAUGCGCCGCAUUUAUCGCUCUUUGGGCCUCCUCUACGGCAGUAUCGAACCCAAACGAUUUGUCGAUAACCUGAAUCAGGAAGUGUCUACGGUGUUACACACUAGUGUAAUGAGGCUUUCCAUACUAGCAAUCAGAUGCAAAAUAGUGUGUUGAAGUACCUCAAUGUCAUUAUCUAUGGUCUUUGGAAUGCCGACAACAGAAACUUUUAGGCCUCGCCGCUGUAUUUCCUGUAAAACAAAAAAUCGAAAUGCAAGAUCACUCUAUUAUUCUUCGUUUACCAACAUUCUGAAGGAAAACAAAAAUCAUGUUUACCUCAAAUAUCACAGAGGCCCCUUUCUGAGUGCCGUCUCCGCCGAUGACGUAGACCUGAAACAGUGCAAAAUAAGUAAACAUUAGAUGAGAAACAUAAAAUAAAUAAGUUGCUGGAGAUGAAAACUACAUGGGAUUGAAAGAAUGCCUUAUGCAACCUGAUUAAUCCCGCGAUCCUGAAUGCUGUUGACAAUCUUAGUAGUGUCAUGGCCUCCUCGUGAGGUUCCAAGGAUGGUUCCCCCUCUUUUGUGAAUGCCGUUAACACACUUGGGAGUCAAGUUGAUGGUAUUGCGAGCGUAGAAUCCUCUGUAUCCACCCUAUUGAUGCGACAAAGAAUCACAUAAUCGGGUCAUAAUACUAACAUGUGAUCAGCACAUCUUAGACCAUAUGUAACCAAGAAAAAAUCAUGAAAAUUGUAAUCUAAUCCUCACCUCAAUGCCAAGGAUUUUGGUAACACCAUACAUGUGAGAUAAGCCGCAUGCUAACUCCCUUAUCACUGUAUUAAGUCCAGGGCAUAGACCUCCACAUGUAACAAUGCACGCACGCACCUCAUCCGACUCAAAACACACCUGAGAAAACAUGAAAAAAACUUAGUAUUUGCACAAAAUAUGUCGAUAUUAUUUAAUGAUAUGUAAACAUAAUAUGACCUACCCUUUGACGGGGCCCGGCACGCCGAAAAUGCGUUCCCCUGGGGCUAUCUUUGUGAACCACAAUCUACAAAACAGAAACAAAAAUUUUUAAAAAGAAAUAUUUAGUACUGGUGCUCAAAAUUUCCAAACACGCAUCUAAUUGAUCUUGCUUAUGAAAUAACUUCUCUAUUCCAAAAGGCAGAAACUUUUUGAAAUUAAGGUUUGUCUAGCAAAAAUCGUACAGUUUAUUCCAUGGAAAGGAGUGAAAUGAGCUUUAGCUUUCGAUCCAAGAGCAAAAACAAAGCUCUGUUAUAAAGCUUUUACUCCUUAUAUAGAGAGUUUUAUUGCAAAAACUAACAUUAUCGCUAUGCAAAAUAACACUUUUGUAGAAGCUACUUAUGAUCGGAUGCGAAAGGCUCACCUUUUGAGCAACGCUAUCGUCGGCAUUAACAAAAAAUUGCCUGUGAGGAGAAAUUAAAAUAAAUUAGUAAAUACUUUCUAUAAGAGGGAAUUGAAAAGCGUAAUACACAGAACCGGAGCGCGAUUAAUGUAUAACAAAUAAAGUAACUGAACUGCAAAAAAAGGAAAAGAAAAGAAAAGAAACUCACUUCACAACUGAGUACGCCGGAUUAUCUUGGAGCGGAUUUGGGUGCGUCUAGCAAAAUUAAAACGCAAAACAAAACCCCAAAUCAAUAAAAAUCUAUCAAAAAAUUCCCCAUAUAUUUUAAAAAAAAAACAUGCAAAAUUAAUCAUCGCUAAAAUAGAUCAAAAACUCACAGGGAGAUUAGGGAUGUAAUCCGCGAGGUGCGGAACAUCCUCAAGAACGUAUCCGCCGUCUCCGUAAACGAUCUUCGGGGAUCUCCUCUUCUUCUCGCUCCCCAUCCUCGUCGUCCUCUCCAAACGCAGCUUCAGCGACUCGAUCGAGCUCCCGAGAUCGAGAACGUGGUUGGGACGCGAACCGAUCGAGCUCGAAUUCGACAGAGAAGAAGACGCCGCCGCGUUUGAAGCGGAGGAGGAGGAGAAGAGGAGGGAGAAGGUGGGUUUCGUAGGCGUUGUUGUUUCUGUGAACGUCAUGUUCUUAUAGGGAUUAUUAGGGUUUGACGAAACCGAUGGUGGCGAGUUCGCAAUUUCGCGCUCUCGAGGAAGAAGAAGAAGAAGAAGAAGAAGAGUACUUGGAGGGAAAAAGAUGAAAAGGGCGGAAAGGACGGUGUUAAUUUAUAGGACCUCAGGAGUGUGUGAAUUUACGACAAUGCCAAGGGCGGCGAACGUGUAGGACUCCGAUUCGGAGUCGGAUUAUUUUUUUUUUGAGAAAUAGGUAGCGAAGCUACCUGUUUCAUUCAUUAAGUAAGAUGAAUUAAGCGUACAUGUUGGAGACAGCUAAGGCCUCCUAGAGGGACCGGAAGAAAAACAAAAGAAAGAUAAAAACGAAAACAAAACAGUAAACAAACACUAAAAAACCUGACACGGGAACAAAACGGGAGACUUUCGAUUCCAAUUCGCUUGUAUCUGAAUUUCCGGCGCUGAAAGAAGAAAUCACUUUUAAAGUACGUCAGAGUAUUGUGGUCCAAGUGCUGAUCAGUAGUUUGAGACGUGCAAGAGACCCAGAAACCGUACAAAACGGGAGACUUUCGAUUCCAAUUCGCUUGUAUCUAAAUUUUCGGCGCUGAAAGAAGAAAUCACUUUUAAAGUACGUCAGAGUAUUGUGGUCCAAGUGCUGAUCAGUAGUUUGAGGCUUCGGAGUCGGAUUAUUAAUCCGACUCCGAUUGGGAUUUAGAAUUGGAUUCAUUUUAGGAGUGUCAGAUGGAAUAGAACGUUGAUGGUUCAUGACAUCCGACUUGGGAUUCGAAUUUUAAAUUCAAAUUCGAAUUUAAUAAAUAAUUCAUUGGAUAUUUUGAAUUCCCAGUUGAUUAUAAGGCCGGAUAGAAAUUGAAUUGUGAGGUUUGAAGUAUCAGAUGCACAAUAGAUGGCCGUUCAUAAUAUUUGAAUUAGUUUGGGAUUCUAAUGCAGUUCGUAAUUUAUUUUAAAUUUUAAAUUUGAAUUUGAAAUCGAUUAGCAGGUAGAAAUUGAGUCAUCAAAAAAAUCAGCUAUAGGCAAUAAUUUUUCAUAAAAAAAAACUAAAAUUACACAAUUUUAAAACACCAAAAUACGAAAUUUUAAAAAAAAAGGAGAACUAAAUUAAAAUCCGGUUAAAAAUUCACACACUAGCCGUACAAGUUACCCAAAAAAAUAGGAAAGAAAAAUGACAAACACGUGCUUGAAAUCACGUGACAAAGGAGGUUGGCUGCUACGACGGUCUAAUUCGGACGGAAGACCAAAUCGGUCCCAGUCCAACAUGGCAAGCGGGAAAGGGAGAAAGUAACGGUCGAUUUUGAAUUAAAGGGAGGAUGGCAACUUACAGAUUUAUGAGUCGUGGCGCAGAAUCCUACCGAAAAUUUACCGACAGAUAUAUAUCGAAUUGUGCUGGUCAUAAAAAAUAUAUGACUACCGAUACAUAACAAUACGAAAUAUUUAUUUUUUUUAGUAACAAAUAUAUCAAUUAUUUAUUAUAUAUUUUUAUCAAAUUUUUAAAAUUUUAUUAAUAAAAUUACUUAUUAAUUUAAAAAAUAAAAAAAAUUGAGUUAUUUUAUCGGUACGGAGUUGUAUCGUGGAUACGACUCGUACCGAUAAACACUUAAAUUCUUCGUGAUGGUAUUAUAAUUUUGUGAAAAAUGUAAGGGUGUUUUGGUAAUUUAAACGGCGUCCCGUGAAAAGGCUUUUUUACGAGCGGUUGGGAAUGCACGAGAUUCAACUUGGAAGUUUUUCAAAGUGAUUUGUUUUCGUUUUCUACAGGGAAAGUGCAACUUCCUUAUUCUUUCUAACAAAGGACAAUGCUACGUGUGUUCAAAAGUGUACCCAAAGUGAGCACACAGAUAAAUUUUAGGUGUAGAGACCGCUGCACUAAUAGAGAAGUUAUAAUUUAAAACUUCUGCAACAAUAUAAAAAGCAUGUACAAUACUUGCGCACGUACUACCAAAGCGUAUUUUCAAGCGUAGAGGUAAGGACGAAACAAUUAUUAGUAAGUUUGUUGAGUUUGUUGAUCCUAAUUUUUUGAAUUGUGCUCUUACAUUUAAUAUUAUUUCUAAUAUUUAAAGUAUUAUUGAAGUGGAAAACUAAAAUGAAAUUCUAAUUCAAGCCGAAUAGCGCCUAUUUAGUCAUUUUUACGGAAAAAAUAUUCAAAAAGUUUAGUGUAUGACUUCUUUCUAAAAGCAGUACUUUGGUAGCAUUAUGCACAACUAUGCGCUUUGUAUGUGUAGUACGAUCUAUGUAAUUUAGAAACGCGUUGGUGGUACAACUUGGAGAUAUCCUUAGCAAUGAUCUUGUUAAAAAGAAAAUAAAGUACACGAAUCCCUUUGACGCUCAAAAAAAACGACCGGAUGUUCUCCUUUCUCGAACUUUUGUCACCAUGAUAAUAAACAAACUCCUCUAAUUUAUUUAGUAAGAUUAGAAAAUGUUCUUUUAUUGCUCUUCUCUCUAUGCACAGCUUUUACUUCAACUGGGAAAGUAUUUUCUUAGACGAGAAAAUUCUCCAAAGGACAAAAAUUAUGUAAAAGCAUUUUCAAACAGAGAUGAUCGAAUGGACACCGUUCAUUUUAUGCAGUCUCGUUCAUCAAGUGCUUUGACCUGAGACCUGCGCCAAGGCCCGUGUAGGUUGUGUUCUAAUUGUACCGUCAUUAUUUGGGCAUUUGUUUCAACAUACACGAGUUCGACAUUCCUAAAAGUCACAAACUAUAUAUUAUUUAAUUUACUAAAAGUGAGGCAAAAAUAAUAAAACUGGAUCUACCUUUUGAAUUCAUUUGACUCAAAACAGGGGGUUAACGCCUGUAAUUAAGAAUUUUAGGCGGGAAAGGUGUAUGGUGAGUCAUUGAUGGAAUUUUGGCGGCAGCAAACCAACGGCGGUGAAAAUAUGUGAAAAUAUUAACACCGAUCGUCUCUAGCGCAAAUGACAAAAAAUUUGGCUAAUACCCGAGAUCCCAAAUUCGAAUUCUAAUUGAUUCACAUUUCCAACUAAGUUUAUUUCUUUAUAAAAUAAACAAAACGAGUAGCAUUCUGUCUCUCUCUCAGCAAAAAAAAAAAAAAAAAAAAAAAAAAAAAAAAAAAAUAUUAACCAGGAUAUUUGCAAGCCAAAAAUAAAACUUGCAGCAAAACCUGCGAGCAUAGGUGGGUUUAAGCCCCUUGCUCACAAUAAUUCUGUUUCAUUACGGAAUUGUUGAGCCCCGCACGUUAGUUCUAUGAAAUCAUAUACAACCAUGUUCAUUAAAUCUGAUCGAAGUCAACAUGAGAACCAUAAUCAGAUUCAACAAGUUUGACUUCAUGUAAAAGUCACAACUCCAUUACUAUAGCAUACGAGUAACCUAUUAUUUAAUCUCUUAACAAGCCUCUUCAAUUACAUUAGGAUAAAGUUGGCCACACAAUACCAUCAAACGAACAACUCCCCGAGCAGACUUCAAAUAAUUCUUUUUCACUUUUCUUUCAAAAUUUCUUCCCAUAACCCCUUAAAUAUCCCCACAAUAUAGAUAAGACAAUCUUUCGUCAAGUUUCGACAUCAUCCGGUUAGCUGUGAAUCCGCGAUAUAAAUUUUCAUGUCUUGCAAUGCAUAUAUCGAGUAUGUUCUUCGACAUUCUGUCCUCCCUGUGGAAUGGCUGGUCUAAGAACUCAUCGAGAGGCAUCCACUGCAAAAAAAAUUUUUUUAAAAAAGCUCCCGUAAAUUAAUGGCGCAACUAUUGUAUAAGGAGGGGUUUAUUGUCAUGUUCAAAUAAGAAUCAUCUGAAUUACCGUUGCAGCUUGGAUCUCCAACGCAUCAAUUGAUAUGUCAAACGACAAUGGCUUAAGCAUACAUAUGAAUAGCAAAUCAGACUUCUCAAAAAUGACCUGAUGUGCAUGCCUAUGAAUGGUAAAGAAAAGAGAAGGAAAAAUCAUGGAUUACGACACACUACAAAGUACAAACAACAUUAAGAAAGGUUAUGUUCCAGUUACCUGAAAGCUACCACUUCCAGGAAACAAGUGUCUAUCUGAUAACAGACAGGAACAAAAGGAAUGAAGAUUGUUAGGAUUUCUAUGAUUAGAUGAAUGCAACAUACAAUUCCCGAAAUAACAGAUCAGAGUAGUUUCUCAUUACCCCAGUUUCUUCCUUGACUUCUCUUAUGGCUCCACAAAAAAUAUCUUCAGACUGAAAACAAUCGAUAAAUUAGAAAGGCAAUUGUCAGCUCAUUGUCCUUGCCUGCUGGUGAUAUACUAAUACCUUUGAAUUUCAAGUGUACAGCACCAAAUAUUCUCAACUACAACAUGUUUAUGAAUGCAUCUGAAAAUCAAGUUAUGAUUAAAGCUGAUUAACUAUAAACAGAAAUUGUCUGCAAAAAAGGUAAGUAAUAUUUUCCCUCCAAAGAAAAUAUGUCGCGCAAAUUGAUAAUUUCGCAAAACGUAGCAGCAGCUUGGAACACGUGAGUACUAAACUGUUAUGUUUAGUGAUCUUUUUAACAUAGCAAUAUCUCUAAGAUCCCUUUAGUUGCUGAUAAAAUAAGUUGUUCUUAGAAUUCUCAUUUAAUAAACAAUUGUAAAGUUGUUCUUAGAAUUCUCAUUAAUAAACAAUUGUAAAUGCUUAUCUCAUGCUAAAACAAUCAAAUGGACUCAUUUCACAUGCUACUAUUGUUACUGUUAGCUCUUAGUUUCUGUUUGCCUAUGAUUACCGUUGUCUGAUCAACCAUCAAAGCUUGACAUCCAAUCUAGUUAGAACUUUCUCAUGAUCCAACUCUUUUACUAGCAACAUUCAUAAGGAAAUAGGUUACCAUUCAAUCUAAUUACGUACUCUUUACUACAAGAAAUAAACAACCAAGGAGAAAUAGCAUCAGUUUAGACCAUCCGGGUGUAUCCCCAAUUUCCUAGUUUUCCUAUUUUUAAAAUACGAAAAUUUUAAAAAAUUGCUUGUAUUGCAAAUCCACCAACUGUUCUUCAAUGUACCUUAUCAAGAAGACCAGUGGGUAAUUUCCAUAUGCACGAGCACCUUAGAGGGCAUUUUUCUUUCACAACAAGCACCUAAAAUAUGAAAGGAUGAAUGUAUUGGAAGGUUAUUCAACCAACUGAAAAGAACAAAAUGCAACCAAAUACAUCAGAACUGGAAUUUUUCUUUCAACUUAAACACGUGUCUAACAGUAGAAAAAUGCCUUAGCCGCCGAAGAAUAGGUUGCCACACAUAGUUACUAACCUCCCUGUUCUCAUUGAUGACAAAUCCUCCUACACCAACUUGAUGUGUUGCAGUAGAAGGCAGCAUACAAGGCUCAUUGGCAAUCCAGUAUGUUAGCAUGACAUAUCCUGGCUCUGCAUGGUGGUAACUGAAUCCCGCCUGAGAGAUAUUUGCAGAAUGAUUAAGUGGAAGCGAACAAGCGUAAAAUGAAAGAAACCAAUCAAAACGAUAACGAUAAUGUUGCAUAUCGGAUCCUAAAUGAGCAAUUUAGUCCUGUAAAUGGACAUUCUUGAAUCAUAAUAUAUUAUAAUGCCUUUAAGAAUUGCAAGAAUUUACAAUUUCAAGAUUGCCCAUUUCCCAGAGUAAAACAAAGUCAUCCUGAGAUAGUGAGAGGAUCCAAGGCUUGCCUUUAAUGCAAUCGGAACAAGAUCAGCCUGAUCUUCUAGUAUCUUCAGCCAAAUUCCUUUCUUUCCCUAUGCUAUCAAAAUUAAGUUAAAAAAGCUAAUUGUUGUCAUAAUAAAUGCUUGCCGACAUAGAAGUGUAAGAAAAACCUUUAGCCUCCAAUAAGAAAGCGAAUAAUGAAGCAUAGCAGCAAACUCAUAGGAAGUGUCUGGCAGGCACUCAGGAUUGAUAAUAGCUCCAUCAUAUUCAUCUUCAAAGGCAUCAAGUAAUCCAAGAGUUGUAGUCACGGGUGUAUUUUGAGUGGCAACAUUAAUUCUUUUUCUCAGAUAACUGUCGAAGACACUUGGUUUCCUUUUAAUAAUUGUAGUUUCCAAGCAUGGUAAUCUUCUUGUGAAAGCUGCAACAUAAGUGAUAAUAUAAUUACUUCAGACAAUCAAUAUGUAGAUACUCCAAGAAUUUAUUAAGGGUUGAACAUAAACACUUCUUAUACAUAGUAGAACUGAAAUAGCAGAAUUUCGCAUUAUUACGUAGCCCACUAGCUUCCACUCACCUUCUAUCUUCCUGCUGAAACCAACAUGAGUUAUCAUUGGAGUUCUCGUAAGAGGCAGCAAAUGGUAGCACUUCAAAUGUGAAGAAGACAACUCAAUCAAAGCCAUUAUUUUGUAAUGAAAUUAACCAAAAGCCUGAUUAGUAGGCACUGGCGAGGAACUCCGUCUCAAAUAUAUAGCUCUCAAGAAAGAUGAAUAUGGUACUGCAAAAUGCAAAUGGAGAAAGCACAGCAUAUGCCAUUCUUUACCAGAAGCAGAAGCUAAAAAUUAGCCUUCUUUGAAGGAAUUUUUUAUCAGCAUAUUGGUUUAGGUGGCAUGAUCCCUUUCCCUUUAACUAGCUUUAUAUUCCAUUUAACAGAUGCAUCUUUUGCUAAUAAACCAACCAGCUAGUUUGAAACAACUUGAUAGUAGCAACUACGAUGCAGUGAUUCGGAUUCUGAUAGUAAUACACAACAAAAUGAAACAUAUUACAUAAUAUUUCAGUACAAUAAUAAUUCAUAGAACAUUCCACUUUUCUUCUAUAAAGUAGAGUAUGUUCCAAAUUCGAGGGCCUUACUACUUUCCAAAGCAUUAUUCUGCAUCCAAAAGGUUAUAUUCGUUGAGCAUGUUCUCCCGUUUGGGAUCUAAGCAACUGCCCCUUGCUUUUUAUCACCAUUAUUUUUUGUCUUACCACUUCAAAUUAAGAUCAUGGGGUUCGAGAAGCAAGAAUUUGCAGGGACAGAUUACGAGUCGAAAGGUUCUGAUUUAGUUACGCAGAACGUAAUUCAAUGGUUAUUUAGUAUCUCUUAAAAUUUUCAGAAAUGUAUCAUUGUAAACUACCAUGCAAUUCCUACGUCCUAUAAAAAAUAAAAGCUAUUGCAAUAUUAAACAAUUCAGUUUCAGCAGUUAGAUCAAAUCACAUUAGAAAAGAAGAACAGAUUCCUCUUCCUAUCACAGCAAUUAUUUGAUACUACCAUUAUAAUCCUUCUAUAUAAAUGAUAGCAAACUAACAGACAACACUGUAGGCAUUUGUUCCUACCAUAUUGAACCAUGUAGCUGUAUAUUUUGAACUCAUUUGAGAUUAUUUCCUCGAACUGAAGAGCAUAUCGUCAAGCAAUUCAGUCAUAAACAAGCAUAAGGACAUGCCAUAGAUGGAUUCACAGUAAAGACCAAACUAAGGAAUUUUUUUAGAUCAAAACCAAUCAAAACUCUGGAAUAAUACAACAAUAAGUGCAUAUCAAUUAUCAGGUCAUCUUGUAAGUUGUAACUGAACUUAUUCUACAGAUAAAGUUUAGCCAUUUGAAUUUGUAGUUUUCUUCCCUCAAGAUAAUGCCUAAAGCAUUUUCCUUUUCCCUGAUACUAGAAGUGUAACAAGGACCACAAUUAACCUUUGACAGGAGACCUUCUAACUUACAUGGCAUUUCUCUCCAAUACUAUUAAUAAUAAUAGGCUAUUUCCAUGCGGUAUAACUGAUGUAACAUCUUUAAAACUUUAUAUAUGAAUCCUGCCCUGAUAGAAUUACCAAAAUAUUGUGAUGUGGUAAUGGCAUGACAAAUAGCUUUACAGUGCACAUGAAACCAAUUUAAAGCUAGAGCCAAAUAAAGAGUCCCACUAGGAAGGUCUAACAAAAUACUUGAUCCCACAUAAAAGCAUCUUAGUAACUUGAUGGGAAUUUGUUGGAUUCACAACCUAUGCCAGCGUCCAACUUGACAGCAUAUUCUGUUGCCUUUGAAAAAGUUACAAAGCAUUUUAUUCCAUCACUAAACCAAUCCACUUAAACCUUAUCCCUAUUGAAAUUAUCCUGAUUGAACAGAAAAACAAUACAUAAAAAAAAAACUCUAACACGAGAUUACAGAAAUUCUCUUCCUUGCCUAGUGUCGUGUACAGCCCAACACCCUGCCUCUCUCAAGUAAGAGAUUAGGGAGUUUUGGCAACCUUCCUUGAAAAGAAUUUUAAAAAAACUCUCCACUUCUAAUAACUACCUUUACAGAAAGCAAUUUGGUUGAUAACUAUUUAUGUUAAGCUUGAGAGUAAAUCAAACGAUGCAGAAGGAGAAAAUGGAUAUCAUUAAGACUCAAAUGUAAGUAUUACUGCAAUGCACGACAGUAAAACACUGAUGCAAAUGAAAAACCUAAAUCAACUAUAACCAAACAAAUCCACUUUAUUUAGGGUUAUUUACAUUGCAUAGUUGCCAUGAGCCCUUGCAUUGCUUAGUUGCCAUGAACCUUUGUCAGCCUUUUGAAGCUUUUAUAUUUCGUGACUGCAGAUGUGGAAAACAUUUUAAACACAAUUACUGUUUGACAUGGUAGGGAAGUCCACACAUAUGGUAAAGCCGGCAUGUUUCCAACAAGCUUCUUCCUGUUUGCUACCCCUCCUCUUUAAGAAUCAGAAGGAACAUACCAACAAAAGAGGAAAAGAAAAUAGAUUAUAAAUCAGCAAUUGUAAAAGACACAUAGUAGAAGCUAUGCAAACUAUUGCUGAACGUAGAUAAAAUUCAUAAGGGCCAUUACUUGGUUCAAUGGUAAAAGUCCUUGGGCUCGCCACUAUAGAGAUCUUGAAAGAAGCCACUUCACCAAAGGUUCAGGUUACUCCAAAUAAUCCCUCCUGCGACCUCACUGUGGUGGGACCAUAACUGGACAGUGGCUGCCUCUGUUGAGAUGAUUCAUCCUGUUCAAGAUAAGUAAGGACAUAAAAUUAGAAGUUAUCAAACACAUGUAGACAGUAACAAUUACAUGAUCAUGAAACAUACUAAGAUAUAAAAUUCCAUAUAUUCUAUGAGUUCUCAUACCUCUGUCCCUGGCUUGGAAUUGAAUCCUCUUCUACUCAUAAGCAGCUUCUGCAAAAGCAGUAUUAAGACAAUUCCCUCCUGUGCAUCUUCAACAGUGUAAUAACAAAUAGAAUCUGCAAUAGAAGUGGAGCAAACUUUAUUUUACUAUGUUGAAUUGAUGGCGACAGUAAACAUGAAGUAAUAGCAGUAACUGUCUAACUGAUAUUACAAGAACUUUGUAAUUCAUAUCAAGGUGCGAUACCCAAACAGAAGGAACCAUCUCAAUCAACUAUUAGACAUGUAGGAAUGUCCCUCGUAACAACUUAAGCUAAAAAAUCUUACCUCUCUCCGAUGCAUUGCAUCUGCAAGAGACAGCAGGUAUACACUACUUGGUAUUAUGAAAAAUCUUUCAAGGCAUGUUGACUUAUACAUCACCCGCCCUUGCCAUCAUAAAGGGCUUACAACCCAACCUGUAAUCCGACUUGGCUUCCGCACCCGUAUUGCCCUAUGGGGCCCACUCUCUAAUCUUUCGAGUAUUGAAUACGUUAUCGAGUCUGGAGUCAAGCCCUGCUGCUUCAAUUUGGCAUACAACUUAAAUGCUUCUGUUGUCUUCCCACGUUUCUCAAGACAAUCAAGUAAAAUGUUGUACGUCACAAUAUUAGGAAUGCAUCCCUCUGUAAGCAUCUCAUCAAACAACAUGCAAGCCAUCUCAACCUUGUUUGAUUUCCCAAAGCAUUCGAUGAGUGUACUAUAAGUGAAAACAUCUGGGUUAAGCCCUUUCUCCUGCAUGUCCUUGAAACGCAUGUAAGCUUCAUCUAGGUCUCCAUUCUUCCCCAGACAGUUUAUCAAAGAGUUGUAAGUGAUAACAUCAGGUUCACAGUUACUACUCUCCAUUUCUUCAAAGAGUUCAGAAGCUUUAUCAAUUAGACCAACUCUACCAAGGCUUGAGAUGAGAAUGUUGUAGGUGAAUAUAUCAGCGGAAAUGCCAGCAAGUUUCAUCUUUUCAUAGAGACUAAAAAUAUAAGAUGCCUGCUUUAGUUUACCGAGAGCUGAAAGUACCAUAUUAUACAUGAGGGUAUCAGUAGCUAUCCCUUUUUCAUGCAUCAUCGUUAGUAGAUCCAUUGCCUCCGAUGUCUUUCCGGAAGUGCAUAGUAUCUCAAGCAUUGACAUGAAAGCAUCCCUGUCUCCUUUAUCAUGAGAGCUCCACAUACGACGAAAUAAAUUAUGGGCUUCACUCGCAUGCCCUAGCUUACUCAACGUCUUAACCAAAAAUGCAUAGAUUGACUUUUUCAUGAACUUAUUAGAUGCUUCCACAAUCUCAUCUAGUCUAUGCAGUUGUCCUUCUGCUGCUAAAACCUCUAAAAUAGCACUAUAAGUGAAUUCGUUGGGUUGGCAAUCAUUCUUGAUCAUGUUAGAGAAAAGGGAAAUCGCUUUGUCUGCCAUCCUAUUUUUCGCAAGUGCCUCAAUUGUAGUGUUAUAAGCAAUCAGAUUCAAAGUACAGCCGUUUCUCACCAUUUCUUCAAAGAAAGAAAGGAUUUCGUCUUUCUUCCCAGUCUUUCCUGACAUUCGGAUGAGUAUUGUAUAUGAAUAUGCAUCAGGAUCACAGUGCUUCCGUUUCAUAUCCUCAAAGACCUUGUACGCUUCAUCAACCUACUUAACACCAAAAUCAAAGUCAGCUGCAAAUCUAAUUUGAAUAUUUUAAGCAAAUCUUAUUUGAAUAAACAGAAUUACAAUAAGGGAGAUGAGAUGAAAUGUACUUUUAAUUUCAAAAGCUAAAAAGCUCAAGAUUUAAUUGAGAGAUAGAACCACACCAUUCAAAUAAACGUAAGCAAACAUGCGUAAAUAUGCAAGCUUUAUUUAUCAGUACAACGAAGGGCUUCAGAGCUACAAAUAAUACAGAACUUCAAGUUCUCCACUUCAUGGGACUAAGAAAUGACAUUCCAAUUUUUCUUUUUAAAAAAAAGUUUUUAGUCAACUCACAGAAAAUAGGCACCUAUCAGAACAAAUAUAUCAUAUCCACCUAAUGUUUCAUGCUUACUUCAUGAAAGAAAAAAAAAAAAAAGAAGCAAAAGAACUAACGAAAUCAUAAAAUUAAAACAGAUUAAGGUGAGGCAAAGGGCGAGAGAAAGACCCACACACCAUAUCAGCUUUAGCUAACGCAUCGAGGAGCAUGUUGUAAGCAAAGAUAUCCAACUUGUACCCUCUCUUCCUCAUGUCCUCGUAAACCCUAAACCCCCCUUCGGCGUCCCGAUACCUCAGGUGCGCCUGCACCAAGCACUUGUAGGUGUAACCGUUAAGCCUCAGCCCCCACUUCUUCACGAGCUCCAAGCACCUCCCGAGCUCCCCGGCGCCGAAGAUCCCAAUCAGGAUGUUGACGGUGGAGAUGUUCCCCCUGAUCCCGUCCCGCUCCAUCUCGUCCACGAGCCUCCGGGCCUCGUCGUCGGCGGCGGCGCGGGCGAGGAUGCAGAGGAGGCGGUUGUAGGUGAAGCAGUCGUGGCGGAAGCCGGGGAGGGCGGCGGCGAAGCGGAAGAAGGCGAGGGCCCUGUCGGGGCGGCGGAGGGACUUGAGGAUCUCGCUGGCCUCGGCGGGGGUUAGGGUUAGGGUUAGGGUUUGGAGGUAGUCGGAGAGGUCGAGGAAGGGGUCGGCGGAGGAGGGGGAGAGGAGGAUGUGGGCGGCGCGGCAGAUGAGGUCGCGGCGGGGGAGGGCGUAGCCGCGGGGGUCGCGGAGGAGAUCGGGGGGGUCGACCUCCACGGCUAGGGCGCGCCCCGACGGGUCGGAUCGCACGAUGCGGCCGCUGUAGCUCGUGGCGAGCCCGCGGCGGGGCGCCGAGAGGAGCGGCCCGAGGUGCCGCGGCGGCCGCAUGGUGUUCGCGAGCUCCUCCUUUGGACCCGAAGCGACGCGCUUGAUCGGGUGUUAAACAACAUUUUGACACGAAAAGAACAAGAAAAGCCCAGCGAAGCCCAGCCCAUUUUUUUUUGGGCCGUACCUGCGAGAGCACGGCCCACACCCACAACUUCAAGAUCUCUCUCUGCCAGCUCAGCAGGGCCCCACGUCUCUCUGCGACACGUGGACCAUCUCCACCGAAUCCGAGCUGUCCAAUGAUUUGUUGCAUUGUGGCCGUCACCGUGGACCAUCGGGCCCCACGACCUUCCCUCCCUGCCUUCUCCUUUGAUUACUGGUCGUGUGCGUGGACUCGUCCCGUCCUCUCCCUCUCUCUCUCUCUCUCUCUCUCUCUCCGCCCCUCUUCCUCUCUGACCUCGCACUGCUCCCGCUUCGUUCGCCGCUGAUCUCUCGCUCCGCUCAGCCUACCCCGUCACGAGAUACCCUAGAUCUCCUCCGAGGAAAAACACUAGGGUUUUAGUGCUAGGGGGUAAGGAUUCGAGGGGGAAUCAAUGGGAGCGUUCUCCUCGAGCUCGCGGUCGUCGGAGGGGUUCCCCGUCGUGCUCAACGUCUACGAUCUCACCCCGCUCAACGACUACCUCUACUGGUUCGGGAUCGGGAUCUACCACUCCGGAAUCGAAGGUGUCCGAAUCGUUCUAAUUAGCAUCUCUAGCUGCGAUUCUCCUUUUUGAAUGCUAUUCCUCUUUUAUCUUUGUUUUGGUUCUAGUUUUGUUUUCGGCUAUCUUAGGAUUGCUGCGAUGUUGAGUAGAUUUUGACUGUUUCGAUGAUUGGUUUGCUUUUGUUUUAUUUGCUUCCAUCUGUUUCCUCCGAGUGUGAUUAGAUAAUUGGCUGUGUUUAGAUCAUAAAACUUGCCGGUGUUGGUUGGGGUGGUGAGGUUGAUAUGUUGAGUUUUAGAUAAUGUGAUUUUAGUUUAAUAAGGUGGUUAAGAUUCUACUUUCAAAAUAAUUUGCUCUCUUAUCCAUGUGGUCACAAGUUAUCCAUUAGCACAUGAGAAGUGAGGAGGCCGAGGAAAAUAAGUUGUCAUCGAUCAUCUGUCAAGACAAAUGCCAUCUCUCACUAAAAGAUCCUAGAUCAAUAUGUAUAUAUUUGUGUAAUUUUUAACUAGCUCCGGCCACUAACUGUAAAGCUCAUUCUUUUGUUGUUCUCAUCAACCUAUAAGUCCACUGACUUAUACAGGAGUUACACGGUGUACAGAAACAUUGCAAGCCACAUAAUCACAAAUAGAAUACUUCUGCAGAUAUAUUCAUAUGUACUUACUUUGUCUUGUAGGAUAUGGUAAGAUUCUACAGAUCUUAGACAUAUGACAUAUCUCAUUAGACAAGAUUCAUCUGUUUGUGUCCUGUCAUAGUAAAAUUUGGAUCUAAGUUCCUUUCCCUAGCAUUUAGCUUCUUUUUAUUUCUUUUUGUUUAUUUACCUAGUUAUGGAGCUAAUUCAAGCAUUAAGCAGUAUUACAUAAUUAGCAUCUAAGUUGUUUUGAAGUUGUCUUUGCAGUGUGAAUAUUGUUGAUGCAUGCUUACAGAAAUCAUACUACACCUUGUUUACUGACUGUUUUCCUUCUCGAUAUCAAUGACUUAAAAAAAGAAAUAAAUCAUAUAAUUGUUCGCUCAUAUGUCAUAUCACAUAUCUGCACUUCUUUCAUUGUAUUUUUUUCUAUUCAAAAAGCCUUGUAAUUGCUUCGAGAAAAUGAAAAAAAAAAACAUGCAAGUAGUGCAUUAUAGGGCAUUUAGAACAAUUUCAAGCUGAAUAAGUCUGCUUUUAUUGAGCAGUUUGGCUUUUUAAAGUUGAUGCCCACGUCAAGUGUAUAUCUUUAAUUUGAAAAAGCUAAAUCACUCUCUAGUUCUCAUGUUAGUAAAGUUGACUCAUCAAGAAUAUCCUAGGGAACAUUCUAAGGUGCAUGUAGCACUGCUCUUAAGGAGUUGUAUAUGCUUAAUAUUUUAAUGUUGGUUGUUUAUGAUUUUUCUUAAAUGUUUCGAGACAGUCCAUGGCAUGGAGUAUAGUUUUGGGGCGCAUGAUUACCCGUCAAGCGGGGUUUUUGAAGUGGAGCCGAAGAAAUGCCCUGGAUUCAUCUACAGAUGUUCCAUUUUGUUAGGCCGUACAGAUAUGCUGCCUUCUGAAUUCCGAGCAUUCAUUGAGAACAUGGCUGCUGACUACCAUGGAGAUACCUAUCAAAUCAUUUCUAAAAACUGCAAUCACUUUACAGAUGAUGCUAGUUUGAAAUUGACAGGGAGAUCUAUUCCUGGUUGGGUUAAUCGACUGGCCAAGAUAGGUAAGCUCAUUUGCAUUUUUCAUUUUUUUUUUUUCUUGAGAUAUUUGCAUGCGUUAUCCUGCAAAAGAUCUAAUUGCUUAUAUCCCUUCCGAACUUUGUAUUUUCAUGUAUUCCCUUUAAAAACUUUGUUUCUUAUCAUUGGGCCCUUCUACCUAUACAAAUGCCCCUUCUUACAAAAAUUACUCAUGAAUUGGACGAUUGCCAACUUAAAAUAAGGGCAUGUUUCAAGAGGCUACAAUUUCAAGGGAUAUUCAUGAGAUCCAAAUUUUGAAGGUGCCUAAAUAUAAGUAUAGGACUUUGCGGUGAUAUGUGUAAAUGCCCUUAUAUUGUUUAUUCUGAACUUUCUACUCUGGAUGGAGAAUAGCUUCUUUUGCAUUAUUUUCCAGUCGUCACUCUUUAGAAUUCCGAGCAAUGUAAGUAUUCUUCUUGGCAUUUGAUUCCUACUGGAUAUUACCAAUUCAAACUCAGUAUUUAAUUCUAAUAGUCAAGAUCCUGUGAAGGAAAUUCUGCUUCCUUGCUGCAAAAACCUUAAACCUUUAUUUUCCACUAGUUCUAUCAUUUUCUAUAUUCAAAUUAAUUAGUUGAGAGCAACAUUUCUGAAUUCCUUCCCUUAUUCAUUUCAUGCAGGCUACUCAGGUUAAUUAGCCUGGUUUCAGCCUAACCAAAUUAAUUUGUUUAGAGCAAUUAUUCCAGGAAACUCAUCUACAAGUGCACUUCUAUACUACAUUUGUAAGGCAAAUGAUGCAGAACAUCCAUUAUAAGAGUUUAAAAAUAGCCUGUAGAACUUAGACCAACAGCUGUGCAUACGAAAUUUCCUAACAACAGAAGAAUAUCAAGGAAAUAUGUAACUAAAGUGAAUGGCUUAGUGAAACAUGGACAAAUAAGAGCUUGUAAUCUAUUGCAUCUUGAGUGCAAGGUUGAUUCUCAAUUGACAUCCACUGCUCAAAAGGAAAUCCAAUCAUCUCUUGGGUAAUUUAGCGAAAUGCCACAUCAUCUAUUAUGGCAGCUUAAUUUCAUAGGUCAUAUUGUCCAACUGAACAUUUUACAUUGUAGAAAUGUCAUCAGGUGUGAGGAUUGGGAGCAUUAUAGUGCUCCAAAACAUGUUAGCAUGUAAUAUCUCUUGCCGGAUUUGAUUAAUUUGUUUCUUUGACCUAAAAUAAGUAUUAGCAGUUGUGUGAAUUCCUAUUAUUUUCACUCUUCUUCAUUCAUUGUCGUUAUAACUCUUACUGGUUUUAGCUCCUAUAAACCUGAAAAUGGUAGCUGAUCUUAUCUUGCUUUCAGGUGCCCUUUGCAAUUGUCUUCUACCGGAAAGCAUGCGAAUGCCACCGGAUAAGCAGAUCGCGGAAUACCAUGGUUACCCAGGUAUGUUUAAAAAAAUAAUCCCUGGGUGAUUUUUUAAUCUUGUGAUAUUCAUGGAUUUCUUCUUGUUAACUGGACGCGAGUGAUAAUGUUUGUUUUGAUCACAUAACUUAAAUGCACUCUGCCCCCUUUUCUUUUUCUUUUUCAUGUGAAGACCGCUCAGAAUCGUUUUCAAUGAUGGCCGCUGCUGUGCUUCAUUCCGCAGAGAGUGCCGACGAUAGUGCCGAUACAGAUCAAGAAAAACACCUUCUUUCGUCAUCUGAUGGUUCCGAAGUGACUUUGAUAAAGGAGGUUCAAAGAUGAAAAGCUUCAGAUGUCCCCAAAAAUAAUUAUGUUAUCACAGCCAUUGUAAUUCUUUCAUUAGCAGCUCAAUGUUUAUUCAAUCCCAUCCUUGUUGUCUAUGCAUGAUAAUUGUGGCUCUUUUUUCUCUGCGUAAUUCAGGUAUCAGCUGCUUUUUCUUUGAGGUAGUAUAAAAAUGUUGGUUUGUAAAUCCUGAUUUUUGCUACAGAUGGAUUUCUUAAAAAAAAAAAAUUAUAAAAAAAUAUCAUGUGCGUUGUGUGUGGUCCCUGAUUAUUUGUCUUGUAAGUGAUAGCAAAGGCAAAAGAGUAGUCUCUGUGGCUGGUCAAUGAGGUUUUUUGGUUUUGGUUUUUGUUUUUUUUUGUUUUUUUGGGGUGCAGUUUUUAUUACCAUCUCAAAGUAUAAAGUAGAGAAAUUAAUUAGAAAGCGCUUUUGAAAUUUUAAUUUAAGCACCAGACGAGUAUAUUCAGUUGAUCGAGAGGGAGACCGACCCGGCGUAUGAAAGGCCCAAUAAAGAGUGGGGCUUGGUCCUGUGGUUUUUACAGUACCUAAUCAAAAUGGGCCGAUCAACUUGGGCCGAUCGUAGUAAAAAAUGUUUGCCACUAAAGUUCCACCGAAUUUCGAAAUCACCCUUCUACCCUAAAUACUAGUAUAAAGUAUAAACCCCUCUCAGUGUCCUCAUCCCGACCAUCCCCUUCGUUCCCGCCCCCAGUCGUUCGUUCCUCUUCCGCCCUUUUCCAGCAUUGUCGGAGCCAGUCCACGGAGCGCUAUGAAGAAGCGGCUCGUGGCGAUCGGGUUCGAGGGUUCGGCGAACAAGAUCGGGGUGGGCGUGGUAACCCUAGACGGGUCGAUCCUCUCGAACCCUCGCCACACCUACAUCACCCCUCCCGGCCACGGCUUCCUCCCCCGCGAGACCGCCCACCACCACCUCCGUCACCUCCUCCCCCUCGUCCGCUCUGCCCUCGCCGACGCCUCCCUCUCCCCCUCCGACGUCGACUGCCUCUGCUACACCAAGGGCCCCGGCAUGGGCGCCCCCCUCCAGGUCUCCGCCGUCGCCGUCCGCGUCCUCUCCCUGCUCUGGAACAAGCCCAUCGUCGCCGUCAACCACUGCGUCGCCCACAUCGAGAUGGGCCGCAUCGUCACCGGCGCCGAGGACCCCGUCGUCCUCUACGUCAGCGGGGGGAACACCCAGGUCAUCGCCUAUAGCGAGGGGAGGUAUCGGAUCUUCGGAGAGACCAUCGACAUCGCCGUCGGCAAUUGCCUUGAUCGCUUUGCCAGGGUCCUCACUCUCUCCAAUGAUCCCAGCCCGGGUUAUAACAUCGAGCAGGUUUACCACCCUUUUCUUUUUCAUUUCUCCCUCCCCCUUUUUUUUACUUUUUUUCACCUAAAAUUUACUUUUUUUCCUGCCUUUUCCUUGAGAAUAUUAUUUACUAAUGAUAUCCUUGGAUCAAAAUUGGAUUUUUUUUUUUUUUUUUUUUUUUUUUUUUUUUUUUUUUUUUUUUUUUUUUUUUUUUUUUUUUGUGGUGAGUUCUUAUUUGCUUUGACUUGUGUUCACUCUGGUAUCGUAAACUUCGAUUAACUAGACAUGGACACUGCUGAAAUAACCACUUUGUCAAAUUGCACCGCAUCUAUGUCUAUUUCUUCAAUUUUUACAGUAUAUAUUAUAUUGUUAUGAAUGAGCUAUAAUGCAUAUACAGUUGUUUAUUCUCUUCUGUGUAUUAUGUUUGACACACUUUCGUUGUCAUUUACAUGUAUUCUUUGUGUCCUAAUUAUCUGCUUAGGAUUUUUUUAAAAAAAAAACGCUUGUCAAGGAUGUUUAUGCACUUUAUUUCAUGCCCAUGGCCGAGCGCCUUUCUCCUGAGAAAUGAGGUGGCGUGGUAUUCCAUGGGAGAGGUUUAUAUUGUGGCACACUGUAAAAGGUGUGAUGGGCAUACAUAGAGAUCUGGCUUCCUUUGGCCGCUUUGCUGUCUUGAGUAAACCAGUCAGAGCGAGGGGAUAGGCCAACAUUUUCUGUCUUUCAUUCAAUUUGUUGUAUAUUUGAUUGUUCUUUUUGUUUCCCUGUAUGUUGAUAUAAUAUUUAGAAGUUAUUUUCUGUUGGACAGAAGUUCAACCUUAUGGUUUAUGGUUGAUUUUGUCUCAUUUCUCUUGAUUAAGGCUAAAGUCAAUUGAUCUUAUGUUGUUUAGAUAGUAGUUUUUGAUUCUGCAGGUAAAUGACUGAUGAUGCAGUGAUGAUAAUAGAAAACUUUUUAUGUCAAUAUUCCGUCUGUUGGGACUUGGGAGUCAAGAGCUUGUUAUUCGAUUCUUUGUAGAUAGGGGGAUUAUUAUAUGCACUUUAGUGCGAAUUGAGACACGCAGCUGAGUAGCUGACAGAAAAAGAAUAUGCUUUAAUUUGUGUUAAGGAAGAUGGAUUGAAGUACAGUAUUAAAUGGAUUCUUGAGUUUUGAAUAAUAGGCCUGUGAAUAUUUGCAGGGAGAUCAAGCUUUAUAAUCAAGUUUGUUUCACCAGGGUCUCCAAUGAGCACGAAAUUUAGGACAACAAUUUCUUUUCUAGAUAUAGUCGGUCUGAUCUGUUCUAAGCAGCUUAAUUUUUUUUUUUAAUGUUGUUCCCUACAUUAUUUUUGGAAGCAAUAAAAUGAUAAAGCAUAAGGAUAUUUGAAUGACCAUAUCAAUUGCUUUUUUCCCUUUUGAUAAUAGAGGCAUGGCCUAAAAGUUUCUUUUUUAUGGCAAACGAUCAUAUACCACAGAAAAGAAACGUGAUGCCAAACUGCCUUUCCUGCCUGUGUUUAAGUUCUACUUCUUUCGAACUUAAAUUAGGAAAGGAAGACUGUAUAACAUUAUAUCUUCUAAAUGCAUCUGUUGUGAGUCGUUAACAUCUUUCGCUUUUGCUAUUUAGUGAAGGCAUUUUUUUUUUCAAUUUGUAUUUUGCUAUCUUUCAGGUCAAAAAAUCUCUGCAUUUUAAGUAAAUGCAGAAUUUCCACUGUUGCUGUAUUUUGAGGGCCUCAGACCUCGUUGUUUUGUCACAUCAGUAGGCGUGCGCACUGCAGUUGAAUUAUUUCUAUAUCCUGUUUUGUAUGUAUUAAAUAUUGUAUAACUUUGUAGAGGGAACAGACUGCUUUAAUCUCGUCAGAGCCUCUCUGAAAGGAAUACAUAAAACUAUUAAAUCAUCUAAUAGGAUUUAUGUAUGCCAUCCAGCUUGCAAAGAAUGGGGAGAAGUUUAUUGACCUCCCUUAUGUCGUCAAAGGCAUGGAUGUUUCGUUUAGCGGAAUACUGAGCUAUAUAGAAGCCACUGCUGUCGAGAAGCUCAAAAACAAUGAAUGCACGCCAGCAGACCUCUGUUACUCCUUACAGGUUCGUUUAGCUUAUUCUAAUUCGAGCCUUUUUAUGUUAUACAUCCAUGUUUAGAAAUUAUCAAGUAUAUUCACAUAUAUGUCCUAGCAAAUCUUAGUUUUCAUGUAUGCCUUUCAAAAUGUUAAUCUCUUGCAUGUAUAUUUGUACUUAAAAAAAAAAUUGUCCUUCUUUUGAAUUAGGACAGCUUUAAGAAAAGGUUUUUUUUCUAUGAAAUUGUGCUUUUGAGAAUGUACAGAAUUGAUUUUAUGGGGGUAUAUAUGUCAACAAAUUGUUUGCGUGAACAUUUUGUAUUUUGUUUAUAAUGUCUUCCUGACUCAUGCUCCAGGAAACUGUGUUUGCUAUGCUUGUUGAAAUAACUGAACGUGCCAUGGCACACUGCGAUAAGAAGGACAUCCUCAUCGUCGGCGGUGUUGGGUGCAACGAGCGAUUGCAGGAGAUGAUGAGGACGAUGUGCUCAGAAAGGGGAGGUCGGCUUUUUGCAACAGAUGAUAGAUACUGUAUCGACAAUGGGGCCAUGAUAGCAUACACUGGUCUCCUUGCUUUCGCUCACGGCCACACCACCCCACUAGAGGAAUCAACAUUUACACAGAGAUUCCGAACUGAUGAAGUUCAUGCGAUCUGGAGGGAGAAAGAAGCGUGGUCAUCGGAUAAAGUUCAGAAGGAUGCAACUGGUGAAGUAUCGGGUACUGGAGGGCAAACAUUGAUUCCUGUGGAAGUAGAAUCUUGAGGUAUGUUUAAUCAGCGUUGUCGUGCUAGAUAAUAAGAUACUACUACAGCUAAAUCACAAAUACCACCCUUGCAUUUCUCCCAUAUUCAAUUCUCCCCUUGCAUUCGAUCACAUGAGGAGCAAAAUGCAAUGUUUGCAUUUGGCAAGGGUGGUUUUUGCUACUUGAAGCCUAAAAUUAACAACGGAUUACCAGAAACAUCAAUAUCAUGGAGCCGCGGUUAAAUGUUUCCUUAAUAUAUGAUACCAUAGUUCCCUUUUAGCUAUCAUUUAUCUCCCAAGUUCUUCUCAUCUCCUUUAGUUUCUGUUCUUGAGCAUUAACUAAAUUUAUAGGCAUAGCUAAGUUUGGUUUCAUAUAAUGCUUGUUUGUGAAGGAAUGUAUAUGCACCAGCGCUUCCACUGUGCAUUAAAGAGAACUUUGUGGUACUUGAUGGGUUUUAUUUGUACCGCCACGGAGAAUGCUCAAAUUUAUUGCAAUCGACUGUACUUAUCCUAUUUAACAAAUUUAUAUAUAAUGAACUGUUCCUAAUUUAUGAUCUGUCACAUUUGAUAUCUUCAUAAUCUCUUGGGGUUUUCUUUGUCAUUUUCUUCUUGUAAUAGUUUUUUAUGAGGCCCUGUUUAUUAGUAUACUACAGUAGCUAUUCACUGGUUAUGAUUGUAAAUUUCCGUACAUUGCGCGAGUUACAGUGGAAUUGUUCAAUUCCUACAUCCAAACGGCUGAUAAGUGGAUGGAUAUUGGAUACACACUCAGCAUGUGAAAAAGGAAAAAAAAAAAAAUCAUAAUUAGUAUACUAUACAUCUGAAAUCAAAUUACAGGUUGUUUUGACGCUGUUGUUUGAUGGGGUUAAUUUGACAUCACCCUUUUCAUUAAGUAGGUGCAUGGAACACGCAAAGAGAAUAAUGGAGGGAACUUAAUGGUUUGGUUUUGCAAUUACCCAAUUCCCGGAAUUUAAGUAUGGAAAAAAGAUAUGCAGUAAUUGCUAUAUAUGUUCGGCUGUAGACGAUCUAUAGGAUGCCAUCAAUAAAAGCUACAAAGACAACAUACUUUUUUUUUUUUUUUUUCCUUAAUGGAGAUUGAAAUUCAUUGCCUAGAUGUUGUUUAUAGAUAGGGCCAUAAAAUAGCCUUUUGAGUGACCAUGACUCGUGGCAGUAAAAGAGUAUAAUAAAAGAAGUGCCUAGACAUCUACUGCAGGACAUUUUGGACAUGUUUGUGAUAUAUAUAUAUAUAUAUAUAUAUAUAUAUAUAUAUAUAUAUAGUCCGGCUACUAUAUUCUUAUGAGUACGAUCGCUCUCGUACUCAUAAGUCAUUUUCGAUGAUAAAACUUUCGAAUCGACAAUUCAUACCGUUAAAUAUUAUCUAGAGCAUUUAAAAUUUCUAAAAAUUAAAUUUUAUAAUUUUUCGACAUUAUUUACCUAACGAUCAAAAGCUCACAAAAUUGACAACUUUUAACGGCCGGUAUGAGAUACUUGCUAGUUUAACGGUGUAAAAGAAUCGAAAUAGGUUGAAUUUUUGAUAGAAAAUUUUAUUCACUAUCUAGAUAAAGAUCAAUAACUCCGAUCUUAAAUUGAAGGAUUCGAUCAUCCAUUUUUAGGACGUCGUUCGAUUUUGACUGUUCAUUUUAUACCCGCUUGAUGAACUUUAUUAUGAUUUUGAAAAAUUACGAAAUUUAUUUUUUAGAAGUUUCAAAUACUCUAGAUCAUAUUUAACGGAGUGGAUCGUCGAUUCAGAAGCCCCAUUAUCGAAAACAACUUAUGAGUAGAAGGGCCCAAUACUCAUAAGAGUAUAAUAGCCCUACUCUCUCUCUCUCUCUCUCUCUCUCUCUCUCUCUAUAUAUAUAUAUAUAUAUAUAUAUAUAUAUAUAAGUCUAUGUAUAAAUAACUCAGCUUUACGUAUAAGAACCCAUAUAUAUUUUUGCAGCUGCACAUAACCAGAGAUCUAGUAACAAAUGAAACAAAUAAAAUGAGCAUACGAGUAACAACCUAGUGCUGUUGUCGCGUAUGGCCGUGAUAGACCCAGGUUGGAUUACUUGGAAUGUUCUAUAAUCCAAACACACUAACAAACUAGCUUCUCCUUGAAUCAUUGUCAUAUAGCAUAAUUUGUUUUCUACUAAAAAAUCUUGGUUGAAAUUGAAAUAUAAAAUAUUAGAAAUAAAAAAAAACGUACAGAAUUUAUAUGAAGUAUGAACCAUUCACUACAACAGAAUUAGGUUAUAGGGACACUUGUUUGGGACACUUUUGAGUAAGUGUCUCAUUUAUGCUAAAACUUAAAAAAACAUCUACUUAUGCCUAAAUAUAAAGCCCAAUCCAACCAAAAAUAAAAGAUUACUCUACUCAACCCACCACACCCAGUCCAUUUGGCCUUAUUACAAACAGAAAAGAAAAAAAAAAGAAUAAUCAAUUACCAUCUUUUCUUCUCUCUUNCCACCUACCACCACCUACCCCCAUCAUCUCAACCUCCCAUCUCUCCAUCCAAUGGCUAGAAACACACAAGUAUCACUUAGGUGAUACUUGUAAAAGUAUUCUAGCCAUACUCUAUAUAUAUAUAUAUAUAUAAGCAUAUUGAAAUUCCAACAAUGAUUUAUCAAAAAUUAAAAAGUAUAUAAAAAUAUUCAAUUUAUAUAAAAAAAUAUAAAUUUAUAUUGAUUUGAAAUAAAUUAUAAUAAUUAUUACGUAUAUUACAUGUACAUUACAUUCAACUAGUAUAUAUAAAAGCCUUUUUAAAAGUACCAUAGUUGGACUCUCUCUUUAUCUAUAUAUUAUAUAUAGCUAGACUAGAACAAUUAUUAAUAGCGUCGAGUUAUUGGUAUUAUUAAGUUUUCAACCUUUAAAUGAUAUAGUUAGAAUGGUAGUGAUCCUUUACGGUUUAGUAGAUGGUUGAUGAAAUAGUAUAAUUUAAGGAGUAAAAAUGAUUAAAAGAGUUGAUUUAACGGCGAAAAAUUUGAUAGCAUUAAAUGUUUAGUGCUGUUGAUAAUAUUGUUAUCGCACUCGCACACACACUCUCUCUCUCUCUCUCUCUCUCUCUCUCUAUAUAUAUAUAUAUAUAUAUAUAUAUAUAUAUAUAUAUUCAUUCAUGCAAUGAGCCACGGUAGUUUGGUGGACUUGAGUAUACUAGUAUUGUAUUAGAUCCAUUAUGUAAUAUCAAACGGGACUAUUGAUCCAAUUAAAAUAGUAGAUCAUUAAGGACAACGUCAACAACGAAAUUAAUGUAAAUGAUCAAAUGAGUAGCAGAAAGAGAUAAAAGAAGUACGUGCAAAAUGAGGACAUAGAGUUCUAGAACUGAAAUAGCCUGUCACUAAUAUAUUUCCAUCAGAUAAUUGAGAAACAACAUACUGUGAUGAUACUUUGUUACAUAGAAUGUAUUUUAAGUAUUUUGGCAGGUUGGUUAUGUGUAGUGAGUUGCUGAUGUCAGUAUAUUCGAUUUGAAAAUUUUCAAAAUAUACUAGCUAUAUUAGUGAUGUGACAUUUUCAAUCAAUCAAAUAAUUUUUUUUGAAUUAAUCUAUCACAUCAUAAUUAUAAAAAUAUUUAUUAUAUUUUUUUCAAACAAAAAAAUAUGAUUGAUUUAUUAGUGCUUAUACGGUACAAGUGUGAUAUAGUAAAUUUUCUCCUUCAGAUUGAUGCGUGUAAGAGAGAGAGAGAAUAUAAUCUUCGAAUGGAGUAUGGGCGAAGGAAGGCCUAGGUGGCCAAAUUCAGAUAAACCUAACCUCAUCAUCUUCGCCACAUGCACCCCUUUCAUAUAUGGUCGUACCCACCACAAGACAAAUAGCUCACGAGCUCACACACACACACUCUACACACGUCCCCUCUAACUUGCUAACUUGGCCUAGUUAAUUACUACUACACACUUCCGCUUAAACAUUAUUUUGCAUGAUAAUUAAUUAAUCUCUUUCCCCUUCGCCACAAAACGUGCAAGAGCAAGCUCGCACACACACAUAUAUACAUAUUCUCCUUCACUUGUGGGUCCAAAGUAACCACCCUCAUGCCAUAUAUAUAUAUAUAUAUAUAGAGAGAGAGAGAGAGAGAGAGAGAGAGAGAGAGUUGAUCUAGGAUAUUUUUACAAGUAUCAUCCUCAUGGUGCUAUCAUGUUUUUAGCCAUUGGAUCUAUUUUUUGAUUACAAAUAGCCCUUGGAUCAAACAUUAUUCCACCUACCACCACCUACCACCACCUACCACCAUCAUCUCAACCUCACAUCUCUCCAUCCAAGGGCUAAAAACACACAAGUAUCACUUGGGUGAUACUUGUAAAAGUAUUCUAGCCCUACUAUAUAUAUAUAUAAUAUAUUAAUAUAAUAAUAUAUAUAUAUAUAUAUAUAUUAUAUAGUAUAAUAUAUAUUUAUUAUAUUAUUAUAAGUAGCAAAUAUUUUGGGUUAUUAAGAUUGUUUGACUCUUAGCUGAAUAAAAUUUAACGGUUAUUGAUGGUAAAUAAUGAUCCUUAUUGAGUGACGAUUGGUUGAAUCGUAUGAUUUAAUUGGAUGAAACUGAUUAUUAAAAGAAUAAAUUUAUGGCAGUUGAAAAAUUUGAUAGCAUCAAAUGUUAAUACUAUAAUAUAAUAUAUAGUCGGACUCUCUCUCUCUCCUCGUCGUCUCAUCUCCUCUCUCUUCUCCUAUAAUAUAUAUAUUAUAUAUAUACAUAUUGAAGCAGGACUGCUGUGCUCAGGAGCACGGAGGCCUCCGUGCUCCUGAGCCGUUUUCGAUGAUGAAAUUUCCGAAUCGACGAUCGGCUCCGUUAGACUUGAUCUAGCGUAUUUGAAGUUUCUAGAAAAUAAUUUUGCUAUUUUUUGAUAUCAAUUACCUAAUGAUCGAAAGGAUUCAAAAUUAAUAAUUUUCAACGGCUGAAAAUAAAAAUCUUAUAAAAAGUGGUGAUAUAGCACUAAAAUUUUCGAUCAGAAAUAUUGAUCUUGUUGUAGAUAGUAUAAAAAAUUUUAUAUCAAAAUUUCAUCUAAUUUGAAUACUUCUACACUGUUAAACUUGAAAACGGCAGAUAUCAACCAUUAAAAAUUAUUGAUUUUGAAUCCUUUAAAUCACUAGGUAAAUGAUAUUAAAAAAUUACAAAAAUUAUUUUCUAGAAAUUUCAAAUGCACUAGAUCAAGUCUAACGGAGCCGAUCGUUGAUUCAAAAAUUUCAUCAUCGAAAAUGGUUUAGAAGAGCACAGCACCUCUGCUCUCUCUCUCUGUAUAUAUAUAUAUAUAUAUAUAUAUAUAUAUAUGGGUGAGGUUAUAUAAGUGGUGCUACAAAUAGCUAGCUACUGUGUUACGGGGGUUUAUUACACACACAAGUAGCUAGGAAUGAGAGGAAUAUAAUAAGACCCAGUCGUGCUUGUAGUUGAAGUUUGCUCGGGCAUGUGGGCAUGCAAUAAAUUUUAGUUUAUUUUUUAUUUUUGGGGUCCAUCGAGUGUACUGCUCACCUGCCUUGGGUAUGAAGCAACCUAUGGAUUCACACCACCCUCUUUCUCUCUCCAAACUCUCUCUACUCUCUCUCUAAUCCGCCUCUCUCUCUCUCUCCUCAUGCCUAAAAGGAUCAUCAUUUCACCACAUCCCAAGCCCCAUGUGAGCUCCUAUCACCCUGCCUUUCUUUUCAUUUCUUUUCUUUAAUUUUUUUUUCUUUCUCUCUCUCUCUCUCUUUUAUAUUUUUCCUUGUAAAGAAAAAGAGAAUUUUUUUUUAAAAAAAAGGACUUGUUUUGUUAUUUCAUGUCCUUAAUAGAGAAUAUGGUUUUACUUGGCUUUCUUAAUCCAGUAAUUAACUAAUCAAUUAAGAAGCGGAUCUUUUUCAUAUAGGAUGUAUUAUAUUGUUUAAUUUUAUGAUUUUAUGUAUGAAGGUUUUAAUGCUCUCUCUUUUCUUUUCUUUUUUGGUUUAAUGGAGGAUUCGGUUUGGGCUCUUUGGUGUGGUGUGCAGCAACAGCUGUGUAGGCCGUUUCAUGCUUUUGCUUUUGUAGCCGAACCCUAAAAAAACACCCAAAGGUGAGAGAGAGAGAGAGAGAGAGAGAAUCCCCCUCUCUCGCUCUAGAACACUGUUGAUCUAGCCUCAGCUUAAUGUAUGUGUGCAGAGGUUUAAAGUGGGGUUUCGUGUGUGUUUCGAGAACCUUUUCCUUUUCCUCAUGGGGUUCAGUUAAAGUAGAAGGGAAAUUCUCCUGUCCCAUAUUUUAAAAUGGUUAGAGAAGGUCUUUAUAGACCAACACCACACUCCAAACUCUUUCCUUUCUUUCCCUUCUCCUUCUCACUCUCUCUCCACCCCCCACCCCUUCUCUCUCUCAUUUCUCUACUGCUCUCAUCCAAAAUUUUCUCUUUUUUUGCAUUCUAAUUUAAUUCACUAAAACUGUCAUACAUACAUAUAUAUAUAUAUAUAUAUAUAUAUAUAUAUGCACAUUAACGAUUCUUGUCGCUGUCAUAUAUAUAUAUAUAUAUAUAUAUAUUANUCAUAUAUAUAUAUAUAUAUAUAUAUAUAUAUACCUAUCAAUAUCAAGCAGGUUUGUUUCUCUUUCUCUUGGUAAGUUUAUACAUGCAUGUAUUUAUGUCUUCAAUUCAACUAUAUAUAUAUAUAUAUAUGAAUAUAUGUAGUAUCAUAUAUAGUAGUAUUGGUAACUUUGCUAAUUGCAUGGUUUCAGAUGCUGUAAAGUUUGAUUAAGAUCGAGACGCGACCGAAGCCUAUGAAGAGGAAAUGAACAAGAGUCAGAUAGGUUCAGUAAGCGGUUCGGACCUGAUCGAUGCGAAGCUCGAAGAGCACCGGAUGUGCGAGUCCAAGCACUGCCCUAGCUGCGGUCACAAGCUCGAUCGAAAGCCGGUAUACUCAGCAUACACAAAAUUAAUAUUAUCAUAUGAUGUGUGUGUGGUGUGUAUAUAUAUGUUUCACUGGUCAUUAAGAGUAUAUAUAUGUGCUAGUUAUAUUAGCAGCUUUAAAUUAACUCUUUGAUUUUAGUUUUUGGAGGUUUUAGAUUGUGUUCUUAAUUUUAUGAGUUGAGGUAAUUAGAGGAAUGAAACACACACAUAUAUAUAUAUACAUAUUAUAGUUUUUAUAUGUGAAUGUUGUAGGAUUGGUUUGGGUUACCGGCCGGAGUAAAGUUCGAUCCGACGGAUCAAGAAUUGAUCGAACACCUCGAAGCGAAGGUUAAAUUGGAAGAAUCAAAAUCUCACCCUUUAAUAGAUGAGUUCAUACCCACAAUCGAAGGAGAAGAUGGUAUCUGCUACACCCACCCUGAGAAACUACCAGGUAAAUGCUAUGGUAUAUAUAACUUGCACUUUAUUUCUUUUUCUCUUUCCUUUGAAAUUAUUCUUUGCAGUUUUCUUCUUUUCUUUUUUAAAAUCUUUUUUUGUUUGGGUUAAAUGAGCUAAAUAAUUGUAAUUCCCGUUACCAAAAGAUCAGAAACUGUAUAUUAUUUGUUAAUCUCAAAAUUAUUCUUGAUUUUUUUUCGUGAUAGUUUGAUAUAUAUAUUUAGUAACACAGUAUCAGAGACGGUCAAGCAUAUUUCAAUUUUCUAAAUCUCUCUCUCUCUCUCUCUCUCUCUUAAAUGCUUAAAUGAGCCAAAUAAUUUUAAUUCCAAUUACAAAAAGAGGAGCUGUAUAUUUUAUUAUUUGUUAAUCUUAAAAAUAUUUUUGGUUCUUUUGUGAUAGUUCAAUAUCCCCGGUGAAUAGUUGAUCAAUGUUCUUUUAAGUAUCUCUUUCUCUCUCUUAAAUGCGUGCGUUUUCAUCUUUCUCUAUCUGGUGAUAGAAAAGAUGCAUGUUUACUAGCCAAGAAGCGCUCUUCCCAACCUCUAAAAAGGUUGGUUUUACCUCUCUCAAUAGGUAGGUUGCAUCUGACAGGAAAAUCUAAUCUAUUCUGACCCAAUUGGUCACACCUAACACACGCACAAUGUGCGCAUGCAUGCAUGCAUACAUAUGUUUUCAUGUUCCCCAUUUCAAUAUUUUCAGGUGUAACAAAAGAUGGCCUCAGCAGGCACUUCUUCCACCGGCCGUCGAAAGCCUACACCACGGGCACGCGUAAGCGGAGGAAGAUCCAAGCCGACUGCGAGCCCCAGAAGGGCGAGACGCGGUGGCACAAGACGGGGAAGACGCGGCCCGUGAUGGUGAACGGGAAACAGAAGGGGUGUAAGAAGAUUCUGGUCCUGUAUACGAACUUCGGGAAGCAUCGGAAGCCGGAGAAAACCAACUGGGUCAUGCACCAGUAUCAUCUCGGAGAGCACGAGGAGGAGAAAGAGGGGGAGUUGGUUGUUUCCAAGGUGUUCUAUCAAACUCAGCCUAGGCAGUGUAGCUACUCGGAUAAGAACAUCGGAGCGUCGGAGAGUUGCUCGUCGAAGGAGGUGGUAAGGGAUGAGAUUUCUGGGUACAGUCAUAUUGAUAUGCAGCAGCCCAUGAAGCAUGAUAGUUUCAGCCUUGCAUCCUUUAGAAGAAGCUUUGAUGAGGUACCCUAAUUAGUCUUUUUUUUACUAGUACUUACAUAUAAUGUUGCUUUUUCUAUUUAUUGAAAAGUUAUUUCCAACAACAACAACAACAACAAAAGAAAAUUCUAAAUAUUCCUACAACAAGUUAUAUUUAUAUAUAUAUGUGUGUGUGUGUGUGUAUAUAUAUUAUAAAUUAAACCUGAUAAAUUUUGGAAAAUUUAGUAAUGCUGAAGAACUUUGAUCUGAAAGGAUAAAGAAUAGAAGACAGAGAUCAAGAAAAUAUAUGAGUACAAAAACUGAUAGGGGUAGAGUGAAAGAUAAAAUUAAUGAGGGGGAAAAAAAAGGUUCUGCUUAGAAAGGAUAGAUAUCAAACAAGCUAUCUUAAAUAUUGAGUUGAUUUUAGGGUUUUACUUAGGGAAUCUAAACCAUGCAUAUGGAAUAUUACUAGUUAUCUGCUAGCUGUUCUUUUCACCCAAAAAGAAAAAAAAAAAAAAUUGUUGAAAACUACUGUGUAUCUUUCAUCUCAGGCCCAGUGAAUAAGACUGGUUAAAAUGAACAAAAAGAAAAAUAAUUUAUCCCCAUUAAGUAAAGUUACAAACAACCCCUCUUAGCUGAACUUUCACAUCGUUUUGUUCAUAUCACAAGCAAUCCCAUAGAUCACCAUGCUCAAAAUUGAACCUAACAAGAAACUCCACCAGUUAAUUGCAAGCAAUGUUCACUAUAUCUUCAUCAAUUGGGUCACCUUCCCCACCAAAAAAGGAAUUGAUGGAUAAAAGGGACAAGUAAUUAAAACUUUUAUAGGGUCUAGAUUAAACUCAAUUGGUCUUUAACCACACAAACCAAAAUAUUAAUCAAACCACUGGUGAUUUAAUUAAAAUGUUAAUACUGUACAGUUUGCUAUUGGACAUUCUCGUAUUAAGAAUAUUAGAAUCAUAAUAAUAAAUAAUUAAUAAGAUUAAUUCUUUUUCUAUACGUGUGCGUGUAUAUAUAUAUAUAUAUAUAUAUAUAUAUAUAUAUAUAUAUCAGGUUAAACUUUUAGAAAACUCCAGCCCUUUAAGCUGGCACAUAGAGUUUAGUUUCCAUCCAAUAUACGGACUAAUAUUAUAAUUAAUAGAAUGUUCCGAAGCAAGACAUGCAUAUAUAUAUGUUUGCUUAAAAGAGGAAAAUAAAAUGUAAGAAAAUAAUAAUUAAGAGAAGUAAUUAAUUAACAUUUGAGUUUCAACUGGUGUACAUACAUAGGGUGUGGAACAGGUGGGCAUGGGAGAGGUGCCAUCCAAGGCUAGGGAGGAGCAUGAAGAGCAUGAGCACUUCCACAGGCCAGCUCAGCAGCACCAUGUGAACCAGGAGCACCGACACGGCCGCCAGGUGGCACCGACUGCUGCGUUCCACGUCAGCAGGCCGACGAGCGCCAUCUCCGCCAUCGUCUCCCCUCCGCUCCAACAACAGACUUCUGUUGUUCUUGAUGACCCUUACCAUGUCUCCAGGAUUAUUCUCCAACAAACCGAUAAGUUUCAGGUACGUAACUAUGAUCAAUUUUAAUGAACUAAGAUAGUUAUAUUGUUUCUCUUUUUUACAAAAAUGAUUCAAUUGUUUAGCUCGAGAAUGUCUCAAUAUGGGUGGCGUAAGAGAUGCUUGUGGCGCAUGUUUACCUCUGAUUUUUGUUUACGCUUUCACCCGUGGUUUCGCAUAUUCUGUGGUUUAAAGCAUAUCAAUUUAGUAUUAUAUGAUUUCAUUUUUCUCUUUUCAUUAGAUUCUCCGUUAACAUUUCAUUAAAUUAUAUAUAAAAAAUUCAGAUAUCACAUUUAGAUUUAUCAAAUAUUCAUUUUAGUACCUUUUAGUUUAAUUUUGUCACUGAUUUAACGAAAAAAAAAUUAGUGGAAGGGAUAAUAAAAAAAAGAAAAAUAAAACUACGGGGUACUAAAUUGAUACACUUUAAAUCACAGGAUAUUAAAAUAAAAAAGUGUGAAAACAUAUGGGUAGUAUUUGAAGUUUUUUCUUAAAAUUAUUAUCUUGGGGCGUAAAAGUAAAAAGCUCUAAAUUGAAGCUUCUAUUUCUGCUAUAAAAAGAAUCUAUUUGGAAGAAUUUAAUAUAACAUUUCUCCUUAUCAUAGGACUUAUCAAAUAGUAUUUAAUGAAACAACUUAUAAUUUUAUAGAGCCAAACAUGCCCUCAAGACGAGAUUUUUGUAUAAAGAGAUAUAAUUUUUUUUUUCUGCAAUUACUGAUAUUUUUUUUUUCUGAUUCUGGAAAACAGCAGCAGCAGCAGCAGCAGCAGAAGCUUGAACACAGAUCUACUUCUGGACUUGAAGAAGUUGUAAUGGGUUGCACUUCGGCAGGCAUAAAAGGAGUAAGUUUACCUGGCCCUUCUGCUAUAAUAAGAGAACAAUUACUCUCUCUCUCUCUCUCUCUCUCUCUCUCUCUCUCUCUCUCUAUAUAUAUAUAUAUAUGGGAAGAAAAAGAAAGAAAAACAUAAAUACUCCUUAUAUUGAAGAAUAUUAAGUGUUUCAUUUUCAUUUUCAUUUUCUAUUUUUUAGUGGUUGUGGGUCACUAAAAAAAUAAUUUAUACAAUGCCAUAGUAAAAAAAAACAUAGGUUAAACAAACAAAUAGUAGGAACAUAUAUAAGAUGGUUUAUUGGCUGAUAAUCCAUGCAUUUAAACAUUUCACUUUGGAAAAUAUGAGAAAUAAUUAUUAUCUACAUAAUCAGGUCCUACUACUACUACUACUACUAUAUAUUGCAACUUAGGCUUAAUCAAUUUAGGACCACAUGGUUAAAGACUCAUUCGCUAGUAUACUAAUUACCAUUCGAGUAGUCAUUUAUUUGCUUUUAUAAAUAAAUAAAUAAAUAAAUAUAUAUAUAUAUAUAUAUAUAUAUAUAUAUAGGGUGAGAGAGAGAAAGGGGGAGUAGUAGUAGAUAUGUCUUAACUUUAAUAAGUUUGUANUUUGUCCUCUAUCCUUCAUAAGUUCAUGUGAGGGAAAAAGAACAAUCCAUUAAUGCAUUUAUUUAUAAGUGUAAAUAAAUAUAUUUAUAAACCAUCUGUACCCUCACAAAAGCAUUAUUUUUUAAAAAUUUAUGUGAACUAAAGCUAGCUCGACGUACCAUUCCCUAAUUUAGAGGUCGCUUGAAAAUUGGUUCUUUUUUUUUUUUUCUUAUUGAACAAAAAUAAUAAUAGUGUGUAUAAUUCAUGUUUUAGAAUUUGUACCAUUGCUAAUGUGUUGUUUGAUCGAUUUGAGAAAAAUAUCCCUCUAGUUCUGUCAAAUCAAAUAAGAUGCAUUUUUGCAAGAUUUUACUAUCUCGGUACAAAUUAAACGUGUGAUUAACAGGAAAAGAUUUGUUUCUACAACAACCAAAAAAAAAAAAAAAAAGAUCUCAGUUGGUUAGGUUUAGAACUUAAGGUGGGCCCGCAUGGUUUCAUAAGAGGAGAACAUUAAUGAAACAAAGCAACAUUUUGUAUUCUUUCCCUUCCAUUUGCAUCCCUUUGUAUACUUAUUUUAGUGAUUCCACCUUUCUCAGCAUGCCAACAAAAAUAGUAUCUACACCCACACACACACACACACACACACACACAGAAUAAUAAACAAACAGGUCCAAACCUUUCUUAAUUCCGAAUUAAAUAUAAAAGAAUUGAAGCACAGGAAAAAAAAAAACAAAGAGAGAGAGAAAGAGAGAGAGAGAGAGAGAGAGAGGAGACAAGAAAAGAAACCAAGCACGCACAUCAAUAUAUAUACCAACAGGACCAUCCUUUCCUUUGAAACCAAAGGGAUAUGUGGAAACACUAGCUUUUGCUCUAGGGUUUCCUCCUUUCACACCAGAUCACCUACUAGAGCAUAUUUUUUUUUCAUGUAUUUAUGAAAAAGAAAAGGCAAAGAAAAAGAAAAAGUAGGAACUCAUUAAUUAGUAAGCAAUAUUAAUACCUUUUUUCAUUGGAAUUUUUUUUUUCAGUUUUAUUUUUUUCUAGCCAAACCACUGAGAUUUCAAGGGGUAAGGUAGUGGGGAGGUGGGGAAGAGGAAUCGGAACUCGAGUAGCGGGCCAAGCUCUCAAUUUUCUUUUCUUAGUGCUUUUUUCUCAAAUUUUUUUAAGAUUAAAUGAGUUGAAAUAAAAACUUUAUAUCCUUAUCAUUGUUAGCUAAUUUGCAAAAUCAACUUUUUGAAAAAAUUAAAAAAGAAAAAAAGGUCGCUCCCAAACUUGUAUUUUUUUUGUUAGCAAAUAAAUCACCUUAAUAUAUAGAUUGUAGAAAUGCUAAUUGUACACUAAAAAACUGGAUAUAAUUCUUACACUAAACCCAUCGAAAGUUUAGACAAUCUUUUUAACUUUUUAGUAGUGAAAAAAUAAGAGUGUAAUAAGACUAGCUAUUGAAAAAAAUUAUAUUAUUAGAUAAAAAAAAAUAAAAUUUACACUUAUUUUUGAAUGUAUAUAACUAAAUAAUAAGUCAACUAUGGGUAUAUACAACCACUUUAAACUUAAGUACAUACAAAAGAAAAACAAAGUACAACAAGUGUACUCGAGCAAUGCCUAGAUAAAUAGUUGUUGUUUCUUCUUUUUUUGUUUCGCUUCUUGAAAUUUUCUUUUCUUUUUUUUAAGUUUCUUUUUUUUUUUUUGGGGUCAAAAUGCAUACAUAUUCCGUUGCAUCGAUCCUUUCUCAUGCUUUGCAUGCUUUGGCAGGAAACAUCAAUUCCUCACUCCCAAGAGACGUGGCGCUACUCAUACUGGUCACCUGACCACCCAGAUCAUCAUGGGUAAUAACAAAGGGUUUGAAACCAAGGGAAAAGAAAAAAGAAAAAAAGAAAAAAAAAAACACUAACACCCACACUAUCAUUAUUCCCAUCAUCAGUACAUAGACUUACGAAUGGAAGUGUUCCCAAGGAAGAUAGGAAGGAGGAAAAAAAGAGAACAAAAAAAAAAAAGUAAGUUUUGGGGAGAAAACAAAAGGUCUCUUCUUCUCUUCUCUUCACCCAAUGUGUUUGGAUAUUCAACCCAGCAGCUGGAACUAACUGCAUGCACACUAAUCCAAGACCAAACAAAGAGACAAAGUUGUUGGUAGAAAGAAAAAGAGAGAAAGAAGAAAGAGAGAGAGAGAGAGAGAGAGAGAGAGAGAGAGAGAGAGAGAGAGGCCAAGGAAAAAGGAAAGGUGCUGCUGUUGCUGACAUCAGAAGGGAAGGAAAUUAAAAAAAUGCCUAGAGGAAUUAUUACCACAUCAUCCACAUCACCACUUUAGGGUACCAUUAUAUAUGUUAAUUAUAACUAAAUGUCAUUUAUAUAUGUACCAUAUUAUUCUUUACUUCAUUGGUUAUAUGUAUAUGUCUACAUGCUAAACAAACUAGAAUGUGAGGAAGAAGUGGAUAGCAGGUUGCAUGCCCAAUGAUGAGGGUUCCUUAAUUGUGAAUGUUCUUGCUCUUGAAUCUUGAUGUUUUUCUUAUUCAUUUGUAAGUUUUUUGAAGGCUUGGAGUGCUGAAUAAUAAAUGUUGUUGUUUAGUUAAAAUAUUGUUCUUUUAUAUAUCCUCUUCUUUUCUUUUCUUUCUUAAUGAUCCAAUAGUAUGAUUUUGAUGCAUGGGUAGGUGAUUUGGUAGCCAAUGCUAGAUACUUGCUAUCGCCGCGCGGGUUACCACUGUGACAUGUGGUCACCUCUUUAUUGCAGCAAGCCAGUUUGUGAAAAUUAGUGUGUCUAAGAUGCAAGGUGCACAAAUAAAUUCUAUUGUGAACAAAGGCUUAGAUCUUACAACAUAGACUUAAUUAGUCCAUCAUUCAUGUAAGCCAAUCACAAAAAAUACGCCAUGAACAAUGUUAUGUUCACUUAUGUUUAUUUGCAAGUAAACACCAUUGAUCUACAGAAUUAGUGUUACUAAUGAAUCAACGAACUAAUUCACCUGUCACGUGGGUCUUACAAAAUUUCCAAAUCAAUUAAGAAGGCCUGAGUAUCAUCUUACUUCCAUGCAUCCGAGUAAUUGUAAAAAUUAAUCGACAAAGCAUUUUCCUUUUUUUUUUUUCUCUCUUUUGCUAACCUUUUCUUUUGGCACGUUAAGAAACUAAAGGAAAUUAAAUUUGCUCUUAUAACAAAAACUAAACUCUUGAGUUUGGAAUGCCGUGUAAUUAAGUAGCUUAAUCUUUUGUUAGAGAGUCAGCGGUUGGCCACCCAUAUAUAGCACAUGACUUGUACAAUGAAAUAGACAUAGUACUGUUCCAUACGUUACAAUCCUAACAUAACUAGAUGAUUCUCUCUCUCUCUCUCUCUCUCUCUCUCUCUCUCUCUCUCUCUCUCUCUCUCUUAUAUACACACACACACGCACAAUACAUAUUGAUUCUUUUGGGCCAUGUGCUACAAUGCAAAUGGAGAGACCCUCUUUAUAAUUAUUUUGCUUUACAUGUUGCAGUAUACUAUUCGAACUGUGCUCUGCCAGAUGCGAAGCUUCUUAGCAGUGCAUCUUCCACCUUUAGCAUUUAUUUACCCUCUUUAGAGAGAGAGAGAGAGAGAGAGAGAGAGAGAGAGAGAUAUGGGAGGGGCGACGUGCAUGCUUUGUAGGAGUAUCUUUUCUUUGAUUUGGACCUGCAUAUGUGUAGUAGGGAGAGCCUUACGGAACCUUCUUUGUAGUUUCACAGCACACGGAAUAAAGAGCUCGCCUACUGAAUCGUCCAAAUAUAUUUACAUGAUUCAUUUGACUAAACUAUCCUUCCAACUUUUAACCUUAAUUCGAACUUAAGUCGUUCGUCGGUGUGCGCACAUGUUCGAGUCUAACAUUUACUGUACCCUGCAUGCAUGUAAGAUAAACUCUUAUGACAAUAUGCGUCUACGAGUCUGGCUCCCAUAUAGCGGCACUGCAAAAGCAGUUUACUAAGGUGUAACUGCUCUUUGGCGGUCAAUCUGGAUUGAGCGGAAUAAUAUAAUCUUUCGAAAAAAAGUUAACAAUCUGGCUUUCCUACUUCAGAAUAUCAAUCAUCUUUUGAGCUCCUGCAAGGUGCUUCAUUGAGUUUUAAUUUCUGUCUUUUUCUUUCGAAGGUCCUGACUACUUUCAUCACCGAUACUAAGUUCAUUUACUCUCCCAAGAGGGGUUAAUUUGUAAUGUAAUUAAGGUACCCAAACAUUCUCAUUCACUAGCUAAAAAAAGGGAAAAAGAAAAAAACAAUAUUCCUAAAUUCUCCCAAGAGGGGUUAAUUUGUCAUUUUACUCUAAUGGGACAGAGAAUCCUUGUACCUGGACAAGGGAUGCCUUUGGUUCCCAAAUCUUAAGCCGAAUAAAGGAAAAUGGUCCAAGUGGGCAUCAGGUUGGGGAAUAUAUUACUAGAAAACUUGUUUGUGCUUGUCCCUACCCUCACACAGGAGAUAGAAAUUGAAAAGGACAUAUCGUUUCUAGAGUAAGUGGCAAAGAAUUUGAUGGUUGGUACCCGAGGUCCCAAGUUCGAAUCCUAGUUAAUUCACAUUUCCAGCUAAUUAAGUUUUUUUUCUAAAUAAAAUUAAUAAACGAAGCAGAUAACAUGUGCUAUCUAUCUCUCAAAAAAAAGAAAUUGAAAAGAAGGAUAGUCCUUGUACUAUCCCAACUUUGUCAUUUACUCCCCAACUUUCAUUCAAACACUUUAAUUUUCAAAUUUAUAACAUAUAGCAAUUUCAUAUCUGACAAAAAAAAAAAAGGGGUCUGUUUGGAUACCUUGUAAUUUUAUUUUCGCUAUAUGCUUGGUAAUCAAACUCCAUCUUUAGGACAAUAAGCAAGUUCAGGGAUUCAGAGGUUAGAGCUCUUUUUAAUUUUACAAUAAAUUCACAUUUUUUGGGGGGUAUUUAAUUUUAUUAUGUUUUGAUAAUGUACAAAAAAGCAUCCAAACACUUUUUUUUGAAAA
rnacentral:lncRNA from 1 species